GGAUAACUUACAUUUGACAAAUAAAUGAAAUAACGUUAUUGCAACUUUUUAGAACAAAAAAAAAAAUCAGGUGACUAGUUUCACACUUCUCUAUCUAUUAGUAUUCUAAAAUGAGUAUCAAGAUGGCCUUUUGAAGUAUCCUAAUAACGUGGGCAUAUGACAACUCAUAAAUGACAUAUUAAUGGCAUUAAAAGUAAAUGCAUAACUAGUAAUAACUUUUAUCAUUAAAGAGUAAAAAAAAAAGUGUAGAUGCUAUCUAUGAUGAAACGUUUUAUUCACACAUAACAAUAAAUAAAUAAAAAUUGAAAAAAAGUAUUAGAAAGAGAAAAAACUCAAGCAUUUCCUCCAUCAAAAAAGAAAAUUCAAUAUUUCAAGGGUUGCGUUUUUUUCACUCCUCAUUUGGUUUAAAGACACUCCAUAUUACAGUGUUUUGACUAUAUAGUACCUUAUGUGGCCCACCUCUUGGCAUUACUCUCCUUCUUUUUUCUCUUUUUUUAGAUAUUUCUUUUUCUUUUCCUUUUCUUUUCUUUCCUCAUGGGUCUCAAUUUUCUUCUUUUUCUUAUCUUUCCCUUGCUAAUCCCUCUUUUUCCAUUUUUCGCUUCAGACAAGCCUUCUGAGCAUGUGUAGACUCUAGAAGAAGGAUUGACGGAAGAGAGAUUAAGUCGAAAAUCCCAAAAAUUUUAUUUAAAGACGAAGCACUAAGUAGUGAAUGCGUAGAACUCAAGCUGGCAAUCGCAUUCAUAGAACCAAAAGGAAAGGACCACCGCAUGACAUUUAUCAUUUGCUAGCUCCUAUGAACAGAUAACUAACGAAUCCUGUUGAAGCAGCUUGCAAACAUUGGGUUUAAUGACCACGAGGGAGAUCAUUGUCGCAGGACACUGAUACACGUCAUUGAACAAGAGAGGACAUCUACGAUUCGGUCACCAGUUGUCCUCUUACCAAAUCCUGGCAUUGUUAUUCACCCUCAUCCUCUCAAAGUGGCUCUCUAUUGAAGCUCACUUAUGCCCCUUCCCUGUCAUUGGCAAGAACGUCAUUGAGCUCAGCUGGGCUCACGAUGGCUCAGCUCAGGGCCAGCUGUGUUGUCCUCACCGAUGCCACGCUAAUCCUCCUAGGUUGAGGAGGAACGUGGAAGCGAACGGUGGAGGGGAAUGAGUGGAGGUGAGGUGGGUGGUGUGGGGAUUGGAGGAGUUAGCGAGGGGAAUCCAGGAAAGUUGGACGACACGUUGAUGAGCACAUGUUCUUAGAUGCAAAGGAGGUCACAAGGUUAGGAAGACACCGUGGGGUUGUGCAAAGAGAAUGUCCCUCUCUAUUUCCAAAUUGCUUAAAUGUAGCUGAUAAUGUAUUUGCGAAUGGUGACGAGCAAACAAUAAUGCCAAUAAGUUCAGUUGACGUUUUCCGUCAUAUUUUGCUCUUCCUUUUGAGCUUUUGUCGGGGACUUGCAUGAAUGAUUUUUGAGAAAAAAAAUGGGAGAGAAUGAGACACCAAAGGCUUGUCUGAAGCAAAAAAAAAAAAAAAAAAGGAAUAGAGAGAAAUAGUAUUGUGGACAGGACACUGAAGGCAUGGAAAGAUAAGAAGCCAGGGGAAAGUGGGAUCCGUGAGGAAAGAGAAGGAAAAAAAAGAAGAAGCAAAUAAUGCUAGAAGGUAGGCCAUAUAUGGGACAACAUGAUCAAAACAUUAUGAUAAGGAGUGUGUAAGCUAGAUGAGGAGUGGAAAAAGCAUGGCCCUAAUUAAAACCUGUAAAGUAUCUUUAACAAAAAAAGGAGUGAUGGAAAAAAAAUAACAAGAAGAGUUGGUAUGUGUUGAUUGCCUUUUUUAAGAAAUGAUGGAAAUUAAAUUAAAUUUGGUAAAGAUAUUAGCUUGUGUUCACUGAAUUCAAUGAAAAUAAAGUUAAAAAUUGACUUAUAUUCUUCAAAAAAUUAGAUGGUGGCAUGUACAUGUAUUUCCUUAUUAUUCUACUUCGACAACAAGCUCUCCUAAAUUCAAUUUAUAAUCAAUAGUACAUUGAACAUUGACUUCUAAUUGGCUUAACUGACAUUUAAUAUGGGCAAUGCCUUCUCCAUCCAAUUUUUGGAAAGUUGCUGUGAUGACUUCCUGGAAAGUUCUCUCAAUCCUUUGAUUUAUUUGCUUCAAGUUGAACAUGCAAUUGUGUGUUCAGUUUACCUUCUUCGAGAAAAUUAAUUUUUGAUUUGUGAUUUUAGUGAUUAGGAAGAUUUCAGUUUAAUCAAUUCCUGAAUGGGUUUACUGUUAUGGAGUUUUAGGUGGUGUUGAUAGCUAACUACAAUAUCUUAUAGCCCGUAAUAGCUAUCCAAUUUCUUAUCAUUGAUUGAUACCAUGUGUUGAGGAUUUCGAACGCAAAAACAAAUGAAAGGAAAAAAGUGGAUCUUGCCUUGCACUAGAAUUGAAAGUGUUUCUUGUGAUGCAGUGAGUACACCAUUCUAUUCCCAAAUUCCAAUUAGCGGCAUUCCAUUGGCACUUCCAUUUGACAAGAUGAUUAUUCUAAAAUCAAAAGCAUUGGAUUAAGAAAAAGAAGACUGACCUGUGGAGUGAAAAUGGAAGGAGUUUGGUGGUCAAUAUCCACCAAAGAUUGCCAAGUCAAACUUCUCAUGUUGGGGCAGCGGGCAAUGGUCAAAGAAUAUAUUUUGGGACAGUCUAGUGUAUGAUUUUUCCCCGAGAGGAAACUGGUCAAAUUGGGCAAGCAUUCCAAUGUCAUGAAGCAAAGACUCGGGAACGUAAUCUUCACCAUUGCGCUUCCCUGCCCUUCUUCCUCUGCAAUCACUCCUUCCAUCUGACCACACUCCUUUAUUUCUAUCCACCAUAGAUUGGCAAGACAUCGAACCAUCACUGGAGCGAAAGCAUGUCUCAAGUUGCUGCAAUUAUAAAGAUUGAGACAAAAUAAGUUAUUGAAGCGCAGCAUUCCUUGAAGAUUGUUGUUCCAUAGUCGCCCCAACUUUGGUAGAUUGAUCAAGUCUAGAAACAAUAAACUAGGUAGCACUCGAGUGCUUUCCACAACCUCCAGCCCUUCAAGAUCGAAUAUUUCUUCUAGCAACUCACAAUCAUGCACCUGCAAUCUUCUUACAUUGUGUAAAAGAACCAUCAAUUUCGAUGGAAUACCAUUAAUAAAUGAUGGACAUUUAUCCACAAUUAGUGAUUCUAAUUGCCAAGAUAACUUGAUGGAAUUAAGUUUGCUGUGCCAUUUUCCAAUCAAUUCCAGGAACUCAGAUAGCUGCAUAAACUUUACUCCAACAACCAUAGCCUGUUGGAAAAAGCAUCAUUAAAUGUAAACUGCUAAUUAGCAAGCAAAAAUUACUUUAUUGGUGAUGAAGACCAUCCAAUUGCACAUAAUUUGAUAACCGAUGCAUACCAUUUCUUCAAACAUAUAUUGGAUGGUGAUGUUGAGGUUUCCCUUCCAAAACCAAGCUUUUGUUGAUGCUUGUACUCUAUCUAGCUUUGGUGCCUCUAUUGAUCCUCCGGAGAAGAACUCCAUGUUGGGACAUCCACUCACAAUGACAUCUUCCAAGAGAGGGAACUUCAAAGUGUAUUUAAAUGAGCUGAAACAUCUCAACCUUGUCAACCCGUCAAGCUCCAUAUGCUUCAAUUGAUUGAAAGUCACCUCAAGCCCCUCCUCACCUCCCUCAUCAUGAAUGACUUCCAUCAACAUUUUGCAAUUACUUACCCUUAAUUUCGUGAGUUCCACCAAAUUUUUAGCUAUUGUCAGUGUGAACAUAUUGGACAAUUCAUCACAACAUGACACAUCUAGAGUCUUGAGGUGUUGAAAAAAUCUUGAAAAUGGUAAUAACACUUUUUGCUCAUGACUUGGGCCUUCUAUGGCUCCCAUAAUGAUGCUAAGCUCUUCUAGAUGAGAUUUGCAUACAACCAGCUUUUCCAAGUUGGUUAAACUUUGAACAAAAUGACAGGUGGAUAUUGCGGAUACCUUCGAGAAAUGAUGAAGCUCGAGAACUUUAAGCUUGUAGAAGAAUUCUCCAUCAUGAAAAUGCCCAUGCAAUAUCUCCAUUUGUUCGGAUAAAUCCAAUUUUAACUCUUGUAGAUUUGGGAAUGCACCCUGAGAAAUCAAAUCAAUCAAACCAGAAUUUAAAACCAAAUUAGCUCAAAGACUAUUCAUGUAUCAUGGUAUAAACCUGCAUAUUAUUUAUAUUAUAUGCAAUAACUGCAUUUUAAGAUGUUGAGUCUCAUGUGAUUCAACGGAAGGAAAUGCAGCCUCAUGGAAUAUUCAUUAUCACCAAUCUUUUAUAUUUGACUUGUACCCAUUUUUGAACUCAAGUAAAUCCCUACAUUCCAAUUUCUAUAGAUACAUAACUCGUGAAAAUAACUUCUCCAUCAAUUAUAAUCACAAGUGCACAAAUUUUGGAGAUUAAUGUCCACAAAAGCAUCACAUCUUUUUGUUUUCAGCAUAACGUCAAUCAACUCUACAUAGUACAAAUUAGAUAACACACUUGUGCCUCGGUAAUAUCACACCACGUCAUGUAUUUUAAAUUUUCAUGAUACUUAAGAGAGAGCCGAACCAUCGGAAUUAAAUUAAACCUUUUUUCAAAUUAACGAUUAUGCAUUACAUUAGAUAUUGACAAGAAUUUUCAUUCAAUAUUUGAAGAACAUACAAUGUUUUCAUGUAGUAAUAGUUCUAUUGAUUCAAGGAGAGUUGUGUAGUUUAAAUCUUAACAUGUAUAGCUACUUCCAUUGGAUUUUCGUAGUGACCUUAAUAAUCAAUUCCAAUAUUCACCAUCAAAACAAAACAAAUAAUCUUGAGCUAUACCUUUUCUAUCAAGAAUAGAGGUUGUUUAUGAAGUGGCAUCUCAUUUUUAGGUUGCGAAGCAAGUAUAUCCACUUUGUCACAGCCAUGCACCUCCAAGGUCUUCAAUGCCAGCCAACGUAAAGCAUAUCUUCCAAUGUAGAUGCACUUCAACUCUAUUAGAUGCUCAAGCUUGAGAGAGGUUAAUCUUGGGAACACAUCCCUAAGAACUAUUACGUCCUUCUCGAUGAGUUCCACAAUGCCACUUUCAUUGAUCUCCAACUCCUCAAGUUGGGUUAGAUGUAUUGCUACUGGGGUUGGAAAUAGAGAGGAGAGACUCUUGCAUUUGGAAACGGUAAUGGAAUGGAGACAUUGAAAUUUGACUUGACUAUGGAGUUCCUUAUCCCAUACACACUUUAGCUUUGGUAAUUUAUAUAACUCCAGCUUUUUUAACGGAAAAGGAGCAAUGGGAUAUCCAUCUAGAGGAUUCAGUAGCUGAAGUUUGAAAAUAACUUCAACCGAACCACAUGAUCUUACCUCAUACUUUCCAAGCUCCUGAAUCGUCCAAGAAUGCAAGAGGGAACUAUGUUCACUAGCUUAUUGCAUUGAUAAAUACUAAGCGACUUUAGUUUGUGGAAAGACUCUGCAGCAACUUGGUUGUCCCAUAUUAUCUCGAUAUUAUCCACGCCCACAAUGUCUAAUGUCUCCAAGCUAGGAAACGCAACCUGCAGAUUUCAAUCACGAAAUUAGUGAUUGUAUUAGAUUAAAGUUGAUGAUGCUCCAUUACAUAUAGAAGGGCUUGCUUGAGGAAGAGUGUUAGCAUUAUAAAGAAAACGAUGGAGAGAUUGAGAUUAAAAAGGUGACUAAUCAUCCGUCAAAAGGUAUGGUAUGGAAGUAGUUGCUUGCACUAACCUUGAAAUCAAAUUAUGAGUUUCUUAAUUGCGGUAAAGAAAAAUUACGAAAUGUAAGGAAACACAUGGAAGAAGCGAUGAUCCUCACAAUCUUGGUCUACUAAUUGCGGUAGUCUUAUUAUAUGAACGCAUCAUCUUUCAAAGGUCAUACCAUAAAUUGGACAAACCACACAAACAAUAAGACGAACAACUUUUCUGUUUAUGUUUUGACAUAUAUUAGUCUCCCCAUAUUUUUGAAGUACAGCUCAAAAGGCAAUAUGAAAUAUAUGAAAACAAAAAAGGACUAUAUUCCUUAAUCUUGGCAGGCCUUAAUUGUGCCACGGUUGGUUGUGUUGUUUCCCCCACAAUUACUAUGCUACUUCAAUAAUAUAAUCGCAGUUGAUUUGUCCAUAUUGGCAAUUUUCCUUUUUUUCAUUUUACUAAAAGUAGUUUCAUGUUUCAUUUUGGACAAGUUUAGCUUCAAAAUUAGUGCAUUAAUCCCCAUAUUGUCUUUGUUAGCCCGUUAGGUUUCUAUUAAUUUUACUAAUUUACUAAAAUUAAACAUGUGUGAUACAAAUAUUAUUACAAUCUAUUAUGUUAUAAUAUUUAAUAUCUCCAAAAAAUUCGGAAAAUAUGCCAAGGACGUCAUUACUUCCAGUUAAAGCCAAUAUCAAUUAUUUUUAUUUGAUAUUAUAUCACUCAAGCAGUUAAAAAGUCAGGCUAAAGCAAAACAAUGAAAAAGGGGAUUGCUUGUUUCAAAAUGAACAAAUCUUCCUUAUAUCAUUUUACACCCGAAAGAGCUCAAUAUUGUAGUUCAUACAAAUAAUUAAGUCCAAUUAUCCAAAAUAGUCCUAAAUAUCUCAUUAAAAAAGAUUAAAAAUAUCUAAUAAAGCCAUCGUCUCAAUCUUAUUGAAGGGCCCAUUUAGUUAAGUCAAAGUGGAUCCGUCUAUAAACUUCUUUAUUGCAUUUUCCAUUAAAACUCCUUCCACCGUCCACUCAAGAAGUCAGAUGAGUAGAUUAAAAUAGUUGCAAAUGAAAACUUUAAUGAACAUUUGACAAAAUUGAAAAUCACUCUUAUGGUUUCUGGGUUAUCAACGGAUCAUUCGGUCUUAUUAUUGACAGCUUGAUUGGCUCAAUGCUAAGAGCAAAAGCGUUACCUCGAAUGAGGGGUGCUUUGCACAAAUCAAAGUUCACAAAUCGAUUGAAUUUGAUGGAUCAUCAUCUAAAACUCACACAAGCUCUACCACCACCAUCAAUUCUAUGUGGUGGCCGAUGAACACCUCUCUUUCCCCUCUGUGGACCACCACAUCAAGAAGAAAGACCUAAACCCAACCUGGCAUGAAAGACAUGCUUAUAUUCACACGCAGCAAGAUUUUCUAUAAGAAAGAACCAAAUGCAACGCAAAGCCUUAUCAGAGGCCCCCCCGCCCAUUCAACCUUUCCGUUAAUGGCCUCCCGUCGCGUCAAAGAAAGCCCCCACUUUCAAAACAGGACCUCAAAGAGGCGCCACCCUCUCCCCCCAAAAACGCCCACCUACCCACAACUAGCGUUAGCGACUAUCCCGUGUACCCGAGCACUCGAGACCAGUCGAUUAGCGCCGUCGAAGCGCACUAGGGCCUGUGCGGCGCAAUGGCUGAGAUUAGCAAAAAUGGUCAACCUAGUGCCCCCCCCCCCCCCCCCCCGGCUGGUCUCGAGUGCUCGGGUACACGGGAUAGUCGCUAACGCUAGUUUGUGGGAAGGUGGGCGUUUUUUGGGGGAGAGAGGGAGGGCGCCCUCCUUUGAGGGUCGUGUAUAGAAAGGGGGGGGGACUGUCUUGGCCGCGGGGGGUGCACNNNNNNNNNNNNNNNNNNNNNNNNNNNNNNNNNNNNNNNNNNNNNNNNNNNNNNNNNNNNNNNNNNNNNNNNNNNNNNNNNNNNNNNNNNNNNNNNNNNNUAAAAAUGGUCGAGCAAUUAGCAAAAACAAAAGUGCGCUGUUUGGCAUUUGAGACAGGAUCGGGGCGCUGGGGGUAUGAUUGAUCUGACAGCAAGGGCUCCCUUCCAUCGAAAAAGAAAAUUGUAAAAAGAAGAAGAAGAUCAAGCAUGUUUAAAUUAAGUCAAGUUAGUGUAAUCGUACACGCCCAUGAAAACUAUUGGAAUUAUAUAUAUAUUACAAAAAUUCAAAGGGUUGACAAUUUGUAAUACAAAUUAACAUGUUUGAAAAUGAUUAUCUAGCAAAUUCAAAAAUGACACGAAUUGAUAUGAACAUAAUAUAUUUAUAUUUGUAGCAAAAUCAACAAAAAUAUAGUGUUGUCCAAUGAACAUGAAUUGCCAGCUAGUCGAUUUCUUAUUUUUAUUUUGACAAAAAGUACUUAUAUUUAGUUAUGUUUGGAAGAAAGAUGCUAAUGUGGAAGCUUCAGAAUGCUCAAAGUACUUCUCUCAAUAGAAGCUGAGAGACUCCUUUGCAUGAUUCCUCUUCCUUCAAUUACUAGGUAAUUAGUAGCAUUCUCAUGCGUUUGUACGGGCGUGGAAUCUUUCAUUUAUGUAAAAUCAGGAUAUGUUUUUAAUACAAGUAAUUAAUUAAAUUGUAUCUCAUUUCAUAUGAAUCUACAUUUUUGAAGAAAAAAAGGCUAAAUUCUUAGCUCGUAUUAUGUAAAACAUAGGGAUUUGAUAAUAUUUAAAUAUUCCUAAUUCUCAUUGUUACAUCACAUAGUGUGAUUUUUUUAUAGAAAAUAUAACUUUAUUGUAAUAUUGAGAGGAAAUUAUAUAACUCGUCAAAAGAAAUAUAUAAUAGGAAGAGUUAAAUUGCUAAUUUGCAAUGCUAAAACUCAUUAAGACCAAUGGCAUCGAACAAGGCAACCACCUAUGAGAAUGAGGAAUUCUCGUUGGAAGCAAGAUGAGUGGAAAGCACAAGAAAAGGAGCACAAUCAUAUUGCAAAUUAAAAGUAAGUGAUGAUUAUUAAGGAUAUUAAUGAAGAGUACUCUGUAUUAAAUAUUUAUAUAGAUUUUUCAGCAUGGUGCUGAUUCAGUGAAGAAGUGGAAAUAGUAGCACAUGUAGAAAAUUAGCCAUGUGUCUGCCACGUCGAUAGUUCGCCAGAAAAUUUUGGAUUUUUGUGAAAGUGCAUAAAAUAUAAAGAAAUGAAAACUUAUGGCCUUAGGUGAUUAGAUAAAAUUCAAUGGCUAUAUUACAAUAUAUUUUACUAUAUAGUUAGCUCAUAAUUUUGAGAGUUAAGAAUUGAGCUCAUUGAAGAUUGAUUAUCCAACUUUUGUAUAUAUAAUGGCUCUACUUUAAAUUUUUUAUUUUGAUUUUAAAUCACAAUUUGAAUAGUAACUCUAUUUUGACUUAUCAAGAUUUCAUGUGUGGUGAUUAUGUGGAACGCAAUCAAUUUUAAUCAAACGGAGCUUUGGCAAUUAUGCUUUUUCUCCAAUAUAACUAUUUAUUUGUUAAUUUUAAUUAAUUAGCUGGCUGGCAUAAUUUUUGUUUAUAUGCAUAUAUCUUUUUUUUUUUUCAUAAUAAUUUGAUGUGAUUGAUCCAACUCUUAUUGGUGUGAAUUGAAACUUGCCAAUUAUUUGUUGUGGCAUGUGGCAACUUCAAAUGCACGGCAUGUAAACUUCUAAAGUGCUGUAACACAUGAAAUUGAUGCCAAGCAUUUUACUCUAUUAGAUUUUUGUUAUAUUUAAGAUUUUGACGUAACGUUGCUCACAUACCUCGUGAUUGAAGAGGAUAGUCGAGUGCAAUUUGACACAGUCCUCACCUCGAGCUUCUGAUGUACCUGCCAUUAAUUUUUCAUUAGAUGAAAAGAAUGGCAUUUUUUGCAUUGUAGGGAUAAAUUAAUCUAAGAAGGUCUUCAAUGAUGAAACCAAAAAAAAUUGAUCUUACACUUUUUGCGAGAGAAGCACGUCAAACUUUCCAAACGUCCAAAAUGUAAUUUGGUCAACAUUGGGAAUACUAGAGUUGCUAAGGUUUCUAUACUCAACCUUUCUUCCUCCAUAAUGAUCGCCUUCAUCUUCUUGCAAUCCAAUACCGUUAGUUCUCUCAAUUGUGCAAGAUAAUGAACCAUGGAUGGGAAAAACAUAAACUUGAGAUUAUUACAGCCAUCCACUUGUACUUUCUUCAAGUUAUGGAAUGUCACAAUUCCACUAGGAUUCUUGUUCCAUAUGUGCCUCAAACCUUGUAAUCCCCUUAUACAGAUGGUGUCUAGCUCAGGGAGAGUCUCAAUAUUUGCAUUGGCACUUAGUCCGUCAAGGUCAAAAAUUUCUUGCACCAAAAUGCAAGCUUCUACUGUUAAAGUGUGUAACUUGUGUAGUUUCACUAGUGACUUGGAAUUGAUAACUUUUGAGAGAGAUUUGCAUGAAGAGACCUUCAUAAGUUGGAGAUUGCUCAGCCCUAAUGGAGAUUCAUCGGUCCAUAUAUUUUUCAGAUUGGGAAGUCCGGUCAUCUUCAAGGAUUCCAAGGAUGGGAUUGAAACCUAGCGGAUAGACCCAUCAGCAAUAGCAUUUACAAUUACAAAACGCAGGCAAAAAACUUACGUGCUAGAGCAGGUUAUUCAAAUGGUUUCGGAAUAAACUUCACUACCUUUUACAAAAAUCUAUGAUAAGUGAAACCUGAUUUACAAUCCGAAAAGGAAUUUUAUGACCCCAAAAGACAACUAAAAGGGAAAUUAGGGUCAUCAAGAAAUAGCAGUCAUUCCUUUUGCCAACAGCUACGAAAAUUAGCGAUCAAUAAAGCAAAAGAAAGUACAUUCAUGGUAAAUUACUUCCUAUAAGAUAAACUACUUCCUCUUGUGUUCUGUUUCUAUUUUGACAAUAUAUUACUCAUUUUAUUGGAUGAAACAAUGAAAAAAUAAAUAACUAAACUAUAGAAUGACGUGAUUACGAAAGACAUAGGCGAUUUACUAACAAAGGAAAAUAUAUCAUUGCAAUAAGUGAUCAACAAGGCGAGAUUGCUAUCACAAGAAGUAAAUUACUAUGCUAUAAGACCUUAAUUAUGAAGGUUUAAUUUACUACCUACCUAAGGAAAUUUAGCAAUUUUGAAAAGUAAUGUAUUACUUCACAAGGGAAAAUUUCUAUUAUAAAAGUUUGGUCUCUGCAAGUAACUUCGUUUUUAUGCCUGGACCACCUACCAGAGCCCACUUGGGCUUAUCCAGGCCCAAUCAAUAUAUGCGUGAAAUAUUAUAAUUUACCCAAUAAGAUCUAAUAAAAUUUUGUACUUUUAUCCAAUGACACGUGGAGUUUGUCUUUAAUAAUUAUUCUAUAAAUUGUAUCUUCUCAUGAAUGGUAGUGCCUUCGAUCCUUAAUAUUAAUGAUUGCAGUGUGAAUAGUCUACUGUGAUCCUUAAACCUAUCGUCUACAACUCACACUAAUAGUUAAACACACGCCACAUUAGUUUUUUUUUUUUUUUUUUUGUCAAUUUUACCAAAUCCUCACUCUCUCUCUCUCUUCACAUCACCGAAGAAUCAACCUCAAGAAGGCGCGACCAAGACUCAGUGCUAGCGUCAAGCUUGUCUGUCGGCCGAGUUCGUGAGAGAAACACAUAGAGACAGGAUUUACGCCUGGUCCGCAAGGGAGAUGACCGAGCGCGAUGAGCAUGUCGACGGUGGCAGUAAGCUGAACUGGCUCUCGGCCCUUUAGCGCGUGGUGAGUAGGAGCGAGAGAAGACGCAGGCCCUCUCGCAAUGCCGAACAACUUUGGGAUGGAGAGAGAGAGGGGGCUCAAAAACAAACAAAAGCAAGAUGACACGUUUCAGCCAUCCAUGCAUGUCGUAGGCACUGGGUGCAUAGUAGGCCGCAAACAUCCAUUCUCAGACUUCCUUUUAUACUUAGUAAAUCUAUUAUGGCAACUUGAUUUUCCACGAAUCUUUAUUACGUCAUUAUAAUAAACAAUCAUGUUUAGUCAACUAAAAGGAUCUAAGCAAUUUUUGUUGUCCAAAACAGCCGUGUGUUUUUCCUUAAUUGGACCGGUGCUUAUCCACAUUUACUUCUCUUACUAACAAUAACCAGUUUAAUCAACUAUACAUAGACGGCCUCAAUUUCAAUUAAAUGCCAUUAAUUGUUAUUGUGUUGAUCUAAAUUAUCAGAUUAUCAACUUCAUAUUCAUAAAUUCUCAAUUAUGUAGUGCUUGAGACAAUUUUCUAAGUCUGAUUUCUAGAUGAUAAAGGUUUAUCAUACAAAAUCAUUUGAUUAUUUUUAUUAUGAAUGUUACGGUCUACUAUACAAAAUUAUACCUUGAAAUUAUGCUUCAAACCAAGUAUUCGUUUGAAAAUCAUUUUGUUUUAAUUACCAAUUAAGACCAUGAUUUUGACCAUACUGAAGGAAUAAUGGACAUGAAGUAGUUUAGAAAUGAGCAAAAAAAAAAAUUAAUUGUGAGAAUUAAUUAAUAAAAUUAAGCCCAAAUUUUGAGUAAAUAAAGCGGGAAAAUGACAAUGCUUUUUCACUACUUAACAUAGAAUUUGUGAGUUAUUUUUCAGUUAAUUAUGAUAAUCAAGGUUCCACUCUAUUAGGGACCAAAUCUAUGUACAUUCCCUUGAUUCAAGUCAAAAUAAUACUACUUCAUGAAAAAUAAAACGCUAUCAUUUCUAUCGAUGAAAUUUGUCAAUAACACUAACAUUAGAACUUUAUUUGCAUGUAUUUCAAAUUGCCUAUACGACAAUCUUAGAACUCCUCUCUCAAUAAGCUACUCAUUGUUAAUCGCUUUCUCCUCCUCUCUUUCUCCAUAAUUCCACUAUUUAAUAUUAAAACUCUUUAUUAUUUCUCUAUUUUGAAUGAUGCUAAUUCACAUCAAUAUAACAUUCAUUUACCUACAAAAGAACAUAAAAGAUACGGGGAAAUUACCCAACCCACAUAUAAACUUUGAGGGGGACAUACCUUUACUCCUAACUUUUAAGUAUUACAUGAAUUUGUUCAGCUUAGAUUUCAUUACAGAUGUCAACCUUGAGGCGUUUUACCAUUUACAUGUUAUAAGUGAUUUUUUACGAUAAAGUUGCAAUUCUUUUGUAUUUGUUUCAGUCAAAUCAUCCUUUGGUCUCCGAAUGCAUUAAAAUGAGUUAAAAUUUCCAAAAUAAAAAAGAAAAAUGAGGGAAAAAAAAACGUAAUAAUCUUAAAAGAGAUUAAGACAAAAAUAACUAAUAAUAUGGUUGACUUCAUGAAAAGAGCUAAACAUCUAGUUGGCUUUCAAAUAUUUCCCAAGCAUAUAAAACAAUCAUAGGAAAGGCUAAAUUUUUUAUUUCAUUAUCCAUGUAGCCUUCCUAGUCAGCCAUUUUAAAAGGGCCAUUGGAUGGUAAAAUCACAUAGCUAUGCUUGAUAAGUCAUAAUUUACAUAACCAAACUUUGGAAGUAAAUGUGUACCGCUUAAAUUUCACGGGGGAUUUCAUGUAGUUUUUUCUAUAAGUUGAUCACUAACGCCUACAACUAUGAGACAUCAGCACAAGUUAAAGAUUUAUGUUUGUUAUGCCCAAAGUUCUCCCAAACAUAUCUAUACUUUUUAUGCAAUUUCAUAUGCUUGCAAGCAUGAACAUGCUUGAAAUUGUGUACUUCUAUAAUAAUAGGACCUGUGCAAUGACUAAGUGCUUAUCGAAAUACACGAUAUGUAAAAGAAGUGCAUCAAUUAGAUUAGCAUCCUUGAUACAAUUUGAAAAACCCAAUCCCAUUGCCUAUUCUUUAUAUUGAUUUUGACCUAUGUCACCUAGAUAUUAUAUUUUAUAGAUAAUAACAAAGUUAGAUAACUAAAUUCAGUCCAUCCAUUUUACAAUAGUAUGAAAUGACGUUAUUAUUCUAAUGCCAAAAUUCCCUUCAAUAUUGCUUUACAAAACCCUAUCAACAUAGGUAUUCCUGCAGCAUGUAGGUUGAAAAUAACUCAGAUCCUAUCACAAACUAAAUAUACAUGGAUUUCAUUCUUUAAGUUGGACUUCUAAACAAUGAAGAGAAAUAGAAGGUUGCUUUAUCUAAUUACAGAAAAGGCCUGAUUGGAUAAGGUAAUUAGGAGGAAAAUGAACUGAAAAUAAAAAAUAACAAUGAAUAAGGAUUAUAAUUUAUUUCACAUCAAAUUAGCAAAUAAACAAAAGAUUAAUAAAUAGCAUAUUCUUUUGAUAGAAAGUUACCUGUUGCCCAUUGAAGAAUGCAACUUGAGUGCCAACUUGAUCGUUUGAUGUACUACUUGAAGAAGUCAUCCUGGAGGUGAAAAAGUUCUUGAUAUUUGGCAAAUCACGCAAUUUCAAUAUAUGCAAAUUACGCAACUCAACUUUGCCGCAGUCAUCAACCUCUACAAUCUCUUGCAUUAAGUGGCACCCAACAACUUGGAUUUCUUCAAGGUGUGGAAGUUCUCUCAAUAAUGAAACAGGAAACAAAACUUCCAUCUUGCUGCAACUUUCAACUCGUACUACUUUCAAUGCACUGAAGGACUCGUAGGAAAUAUGGUUGUUGCAUAUCUUCUCCAAGUUAAUGAGAUUCUUGAGAAGUAACAACUCCAACGUCUUAAAAUUUGAAUGAGAUGGCAAUUGGAGGACGUAAUGCAAGGAGGGACUAUCCUCGACAUGCAAACGCUUUAAUUUUGAAAAGCCUUCCUGGGACAACUCGCAAACACUUUGCUCAAUUUUGUUUAACCCUUCUAAAAAUAGAUCGUCGGUUUUUCCUAAGAAAGUCUGCAUGCAUCCUUUUUGAAGAAUAUCGCUUAUUGGAUAGAGCGUAAGCUGCAAUGUACUUGAUCCUUUGUGACUUGGCCAACGCAACAAAUCACCUAUCUGGAUUUUGUACUUGGUUAAUUUCUCGACAUUUAGAUCCUCUGGGAGCACACUUGGAUCGUGAAUGGACAAAUGCAAAGUGCAAAGAUGCUUCAAGUUAUUCAACUCAAUAAGCUUGGCAUUAGUUUGUGGAGUUUGCUCCAUGGCAUUCCACCUAUCAAAGCUAUUCUCUAAAUACAACUCCUCCAAUUUCAUCAAACUUCCAAGCACACCCGGUUCAAUUAUCUCAAGUCGUGAGCAAUGGUUUAAGUCUAACAAUCUUAGCUCUACCAAUUGUCCAAUUUCUUUGGGCAAUCGUUGAAUUUUUGAGUUCACAAAGCUGAGAAUAUGCAACCCUUUUAGCUCACCAAUCAUGGCUACGUCCUCUAACGAACAACCAUCAAGACACAGUGUGUGUAAGUUCUCCAAGAACUGAAAUGGCAAAAGUGAACGAGUGAGACGUACCUGAGAAAGAUGUAAUACCAUGAGUUUUCUCAUGGAGUUGAAAUAUGAAUCUGGGAUCUUAAGAGAUUCAUUGUUUGUAAACAACAAAAAGAUCCGCAUUUCUGGGCAAUUUAACUCUUCAGGAAGCUCCUUCAUGUUAACAUAGGGAAAGCAUACUGCUGUACAACUUUUGAGCUUGUCCAUCGGCAACUCUAUCACCGACUUAUCAUUAUCUUUCAACACAAGAAGAGGGUCAUCUCUUGAAGCCACCGAGGAAACAAAUCCACGAACCAAGUCAUGUAUCUUGAAACCAUCAACAUCUUCAUCGUCUUUUAACAAAAGAGAGGAGGCUUUCAGGGUUCGGACAAGUGAGCUCAACCUAUCUCUAACUUCUUCCAUGCUGCUAUCUUCUCGAAAUAACCUUGAACCCACACUGUACCUCACCAAGUUUUCAAGAGAGGGCUUAGAGACACCAUAAACAACACAGAGUCGUAACAAUGACUUCAACUCCUUGCCAUCCUCCCCUUUGAAACGAUUAUAACUCAACUGCAACAUCUCAUUUAUCCUCUCACUAAUUCCUUUAUUUGUAGACAUCUCGAUUUGUCUCAAAACAUCCUUCCAUUCACAAAAAUCGGCAUCUUUAAAAAUAUUUGCCAUUGCAAUAAUUAGGAAAGGCAAACCUGUACACUUGCGGAGUGCUUCAUCCACCAAGGAUUUGAACGGGUCAUCAUGAACUUUGUCUCCCACCAUCAUCUCAAAUAAUCUUUUUGCCUCUUCCUCCUUCAACGCAUCAAGAUGGAAGUCCCUGUCGCAGCCCAUUUCCCUUCGCAAAACAUCUUGAAAUCUUGACGUCAAUAACAACUUGCAUCCUAUGACUUUGUUGUCAUGUCUGCAAGGAAUGCCCACUGAUUUCAAGUCAAGCCCCUUCCACAAGUUGUCCAGUAUUAUGAGGACCUUCUUUUUCUCCCUCUUCUCAUCUUCCAACCUCGUCCACAGACGUUCCGCUCGUGAAUUGACAUACUCUACAUCCUUUAGGUCCAGGUCCAACGCAUGCGCAAUCUCUCCUUGAAUCCUCUUUAUGUCUUGAUUUUCCGACACGUCGGCCUUAGCAACCCAAUCAAACGAUUUUGCUUUCCUUAUUCUCCUUUCGGCAUCGACCAAUAGGGUGGACUUGCCAACCCCGCCCAUCCCAUAAAUCCCGACCACGCCAUUGUUGUUAUGGGCAAGAGCGACCAUGAUCUCCUGCAUGAUCAAUUCUCUGGAUGUGACGAUGUCGUCGUCCCUAAGCUUAAACGAAGUCGAUUGGACGACAUCUUUGUCCUCUCGCCUGGCCGAAGUCAAAGCAGCGAUGUUCCCUGGAGCAGGACCGCUGAAGGAGAUAUCCUUGAUUUGACUAUGUUCUUGAGCGAGUCGCUGAAUGCCCUCGAUCUUGUCCCUGGCUAACCUGCUGAACUGAUAGCGGCAACUGGGUUCGGGAAGACUCCCAUAGCAGCAAGUCUUGGUUGCCUUUUCGAAGUCGUCCAACAGGUCUCGCGCCUCAUUAAAGGUCUUGUCAGCAUUUGUCUGCCACUGCGUGACAUGACUGUAGACAUUCCGGCUAUUGUUUCUGGCCACUUCCACGGCAUUUUGGAGCAUCUCAGCCUUAUAUGCCAGCUUCUCGACUUCUUUCUGAAGAUCCUGGGCGUAGCUCUUGGAGGACGUAACGUAUCCGAAUUGACGCUUGAUGGGGACAACUACACACUUGAAGGCAUCCCAUGCAAUAGAAAUGACAGAAUCAAUUGACAUUUUUUGUUUUUUGUUUUUUUUUUUUUUUGAAGAAACAAAGAGCAAGCAGAGAGUGAGAGAGAGAGAGAGAGAGAGAAUAUUAUGAAAAGGAGAAGCAGACACGGAAGAACGAGAAAAGGAAGAAAUGGUAGUGCCGAGGUGAAGAAAGAGGGAAACAGAGAGAGAGAGAGAGAGAGAGAGAGAGUACGAUGAAAAGGAGAAGCAGAUACUGAAGAAGAGGAGGAAGAAGAAUGGUAGUGCCGAGGUGAAGAGAGAGAGAGAGAAUAUGAUGAGAAGGAGAAGCAGAUACUGAAGAAGAGGAGGAAGAGGAGGAAGAAGAAUGGUUGUGCCGAGGUGGAGAAAGAGGGAAACAGAGCAAGAACGAUGAGAGAUGAAGAAGGCUAAGAGAUUUGAGUGCAAACAAGGAUGAAGAAAGGGAAGGGAAGAGCAAUCAAUUAAAGCAGAAAUGAGGUAACUUAACCUUGGUUAAGACCUUGACUAAACAUCAGUUAAUUCCUUGGGUAGCUAAAAACUCGAUAACAUAUUGCUCCAAGGUAGAAAUUGGUACCGACCAAAAAAAGGUAGAAAUUGACAAAAGGUAAAAAUUAUAUAAGAUCGCCCUUGGUCGCCUCCAUCAAGACAAGUAGGAUUGUGGACUUAUGAACAAUCGGGUGAAAGAAAUGGAUGAUUUUCUGCAUUUUAUCAUUGUUUUAGUUGAUCGGUCACCAUCACCAAUGCCAUCGAAUAGUAAUUAAGAAAAUUAAUUUGCUAAUUUUUGUUCUUAUUUUUCUUACUCAUUUUCUCUUAUUUCUAUUAUCUUUUCUUUAUUUUAAAUUUUCUUAAUCUGCUGUUCAUCCCCUCCCUAGCUUUUGUUGUUUUUAGAGGACGUUGCCGCCACCGCCAUCCCCGACAACUCGACCUCCACCGUCAAGAUCAUAAGCCGCCACCGUGUCUCUCUAUCUCACCCUCACUGUGUGACCGACCUCCAUUAAUGGAACUCGCCUCCUGGGAUUGAGGUGCGACACCUCACUUGAGGUUGCGCAAUGCAGAUCUAAGGUCGCUCGAGUGUUUCCAUUAAUGGAGGUUGACGGUGAUCGACAGAUGAUGAUGAUGAUGAUGAUGAUGAAGCACCGAAUUAGCGCAUUUAGUAAGGUAAUGCUUUAGCUAGCGUAGCUCGUCCAUGCGUGCCGAAUGAGGCCGUGUCUCUCCUUGAAACUCUCUUGAUCUUCACUACCCCAUUCGCCUGUGGAGCAGGACCUUGAUUCCCAUCCACCGCAUUGUUCGAAAGAUGAGUUCGUUUUGCGCUCAAUGUGUUUGCGAGAAUGCUUCAACGAACUUGGAGGUGCAAGACUUUUGCCAAGCGGCACGCCAAGAUCGAGCCAGGCGGUCUCGCCAACCUUCAAUCUCAAUUGAGAGUACCCUCUCGCUCCUCAAACAAAUUCUUAUGACGAGAUUCGCUACACGAUUUACGUGCUUGAAUGCAGUCAUGGUGAUGGCGGUGGCAGCUUGCGGUGGCAAUGAUCGAAGAUUCGAAAUACCUUGCAGGGCAGCUGAAGAUGACAAGGAAGAAGACAAACAGUAGCGAGAAAGAAGGAAGACAAGAAAAAUUAAAGAAAAAAUAUAAAAAUUUUGAAAUAUUUACAAUACCAAGUUAUUUUACUGCAAUUCUUAAUUUUAUGGAGUACAACUAGCACUAACUCGAUCUUCGCAUUAACCUAUUUUUGCCGAAACUAAAUAAAAGUUUUUAUUAAAGAAAUUUCAAAAAUUUUAAGAUUAAAAUAGUAAAAUUGAAAAGUGUAAGACUAAAGAAAUUGCCUCAAGUUAUUUUUGGACAAAUAUAAAAAUAAACAAAGUGGACAUCCACAGCAACUUUUUGCUAGUAAAUCUGCUCAUCAAUAGCCGAGAUUUGAUACGAGCGAUUUAUCGAAUAGAGCCUUAAAAAAGACCUAAAUCAUAAGUAAGAAAGAGGAGAUGGGUAUGAACCGUGGAGCUUAGUAAUCUCACCUUAGUUAAGGCCUUAACCGUCCGCCGAUCUAUUCCUUGAGAAGCUAAAAACCUAGUGGCAGACUCGCGUAAGAAGUCACUAGCCAAUAAAAAAAAAAAUAUAUAUAUAUAUAUAUAUAUAUAUAUAUAUAUAUAUAUAUAUAAAGACCGUUGUCGACUACCUUUAUCGAGACAAGAAUAGUGGACUCGUAAACAAUUGAUAGAAAGGAGGCAUUCUGUAUUUUAUUUUAUUGACCAAUCACCAUCACCAAUAGUUUUAGUCUCCGUCCUUUCCUGCCCACCCACGCUAAUGGGCAAACAUUGGAUAAGUCUCCAUCAUUUCGUCCACCGCUAAAGGACAAACAUCGAUUAUGUUGUCAUAUUAUUGAUUUAUACCGCCUAGCAGUUUUUUGAUAAAGUUCCACUAUUUUACAUAUUAGACUCGGGUUCACAGAUUUUUCGAUAGGACGGCCCCUAAAUCAUCAAUAGAAAACUCAGUUUUAAGGAAAAUUUGAAGUUGUCUAAUUUUUUGGCAGCCAUAUGUGUUAGAUUAGAAUGUCAAAUAAUUCACUAAAUCCCGUAUAUUGUUUAUGACUAUUUAAAAAGGUUAUGACUAAUUUCUAUAAAAAAAAAAUUGCUUGACUAAUUAAAGUUAUGAGGGACGUUCUCUUUCUCAUUAAAUUGAUAAGGACCUUUUGCAUAUUAACUAACUAGUUUAUGAGGAAUAAAUGCAUCUAAAAGAAAUAUGAAAAUGUAUUCCUUUAUUUAUAGGGGCACAAAUGGGGAGAUCCAUUUAUCUAGAUUCUCAUAAUAUAUCCUGCAAACCUUAUAAAUUGAUCUCAUGAUGUUAGCAUGUGUCAACGGCUUUGAAACCAUAAAAUAUCGUGGGAUUCAAAUGCGCAAUCUCUAGUUUCAAAUUUGGAAAUCCUUCAGUGCCCCCAACCAAUAGCAACACGACUUGGUUUAAGUAACCAUAUAUUUUUAUUGUAAAAGUAAGUUUAUUUUGCAUCAUUUGUCAUUCUUUAAGAAAAUGACAAUGUUAACAGGAAAUUAUCAUGUUAUUACUAUCCAAUAAUUUGCAAGAGAGAUAUGUUAAGCAAGUAUAAAGUUUUUAGUGUAAAGAAUAAGUGUAUUAUGCAUUUUGCACAAUUUUUCAAGAAAAUAUAUAUUAUGCAUUUUGCACAGUUUUUCAAGAAAAAAUAGUCUCUAGUUAAAUGGUAUGGGUUUGCUUAUUUUGGUGAAUGAUUGGCACAUAAUCAACGCUGAUGGAACUCCAUUGCAAUGUUUUUAUAUAGAGCCGAUGGCAUAUUUGCUAUAUUGUAAUGAUAGUGAUGUGCGGAUGCACAUAAAUAUAAGAUGAGUGACACAAUGCAUGUGAAUAUCAGAUUACUUGUUUCAUUUGUAAUGGGUUAGAGAAAAGUGCAGAGAGACAAAGAGCAAAAUUAUCUAACGCAGUAAUUAGUAACGUCACAUGGUCUUCUCAUGCUUUGGAAUGAUUCAAUAUUCACAUUUCAUGGGAUUUCUUCAUUAAUUAAGACAUCGUCUAAUGGCUUAGUUCAUUUUAAGUAAGCGUUUAUUUAUUUCCAUCAUCACCAUGCCUUUGACUGGUGGGUUAAAAAUGUGGACAUGAUCAAUAUGCAAAUUUAGCUUAAAAAAAUGUGCAUGCUCGAUUUUUCUAUUUACAACGUAACCUUAGUUAAGACUUUCACUAAACAUCAAUCAAUUUCGUUGGAAGCUAAAUAUUUGGCAGGAGACUCCAAGUCUUCCACUAGCCAAAAGGAAAAAUAAAGAAAUACUGUUGUCGGUAGCCUCAAUCAUGACAACAAUGUGGACCAAUGUCUAAGUUCCCAUCCCUUCCUCCCCUACUAACGGACAAACAUUGAUUAGGUACAGCCCCUAAAUACGUUCCUUGUAUUGGUCCUUGAAAUCCCAUUGAAAGCAUAGAAGUAGCAUUACAAUUAAGCUAACUACUAGAUUAGACUGUCAAUUAUGAUUGUUAGGUUAGAAGUAACUUCAAUUAUAAAAGUUAGUUUAGAACUUCUAAAGAAGUUAAUCCUUUUCCAUUCUUCAUUAACAUUUUAAAUUAGUUUACUUUAUUGAAUACUGUUACUAUUUACAUGACAAAAUUAAUAUUAGAAACGAUUGCGAGCCCUGACUAACACUGUUUCAUGGUCUUCUAUUCCGAUUGUAGUUUCCCCUUCUUUUUAAAAUGCUUGUCUAUUCAGAUUCUUUAAUUUUAGCAUUUAUUUUUCAAAAAUGGCAGUUACCAAUUAUUGAUUUUUAAAACUUUCUUAAUACAUAGUUAUUGGCAAGGAGAAUUAUAUGGUUUUUCAUAAUUUACAAACCUAAGUUUUUUUUGUCCAUUUUUAAUUUUUUUGAGCGAAAGCAAAAGGUAGAAAAAAUGUUACUUAAUAUAAGUGUAAGCAAAUAAAAUGAGAAGUCGAAAAAGUAAUGAGGAAAAGUUGUGUGGAAUCGUUUAGAAUCACUCUUGCAUAUUCCUAUUUCAUGACAAUCAUAUUGAUAAAAGUUGUCCAUCCGAUGCCUAUUACCACUGUGCCACGUGAAUCUCAUUAGAAGUGGACAAUUCACAAAUUACAAUAUCGCAAUGAUUUGAGGCUUUAUAAUAUGGUAUGGUAACCCAUGCAUAACACUCACAGUUACAUACAGCUCCUCUAAUGAGUGCAUUCCGAGUUACGCAAGAACAAAAGGCAAUAAACUGAAAAACGUUCCAACAAUCACAUCCCAUGAACUUGGCGUCUUCUUUGCCGGCUUGCUCAACUGGAACACUGGGUGCCGCCAUAGCUUCCUCACUCCUUUUCUCAAACUCUGCGAUAGUUGUUUGAUUAGAAUGUCAAAUUACUGCUAAAUCUUUAUAUUUAUUCUAACCAUUUAAUAAGGUUAUGACAAAUUUCUAACAAAGAAAAUUCUGUGACUAACAAAAGUUAUGAGUAAUGUUCUCUUCGCAAUAAAGUUGAUAUAAAGUUUAUGAGGAAGAAGUGCACACAAAAAAUUACUACAUAAAGUUAGCAUUUUUUUGUAACCUAGGGCACAAAUGUGAACAUCCGUCUAUCAAGAAGCCCAUAAAAAAAUAUAAAAAUAAUACUAUAAUUAAGCUAGUUGAACAAGAAAAAGAUUGACGCCUUUUUUUCAAAAUGGUAUCAAAUAAUUCUAAAACGUAUAGUGGCCGUGUCAUUGAUUUAGAUAUUCAACAACAAUUUUGGAAAAUAUUCUACUUAUUGACAUGUUAGUCUUGGACUUAACUUGGACCCCUAUAUCUUCCUAUUGACAAAAAACUACUCAUUCCAAUAAUGAGAUGCCAUUACCUAACCUUGCUAUUUAAAUGAGUCAUUCUCAUCCAUAGUGCCAAAAAGAUGACAAACCUACAGAAGAGAACAAAUCAUCCCUAGAUAUGGCCUAUGAGUCAUUCUCAUCCAUAGUGCCAAAAAGAUGACAAACCUACAGAAGAGAACAAACCAUCCCUAGAUAUGGCCUAUCUGAAUAAAACACCGAAACCAAAAUCAGGACCAAAACUCGCGGUGACAUUGUGCCAAGAAGAAUGGUUUUCCAUUUAAAUAAAGACUCGUAGGUUGUCUUUAUUCCAAUCCAACAUUGACAAAACUAAAACGAGGCAAAACCAGCAAAUGGCCCAUCUCUUGUUUUAUCGCCACUACGAAGAGAUUCUUCAAUUUUUUUUUUUUUAAUUUUCCUGACAAGACACGUUUAUAUUUAAUGUAAAGAUUAUAACAAGUAAUCCGAUCAGGGAAUACUCGCGUGACAUCACAAAUCGAAAUAUAUGUUGCCGCAAGCCUUACAAUAAAAGUUUUUUUUUUUUUUUGAGAGGGCCUUGAUCGGUUACUAUUGCUGGACCACCUUCUUGAUCUGGGGCUGCAGCAUCUCCAAUAUACGAAGAGUUCAAUUAUAAUUGCUAGCACCUGCAUGCCAUGAUCACAUCAGCUGUUGAUGCCCACUUGGUGAGUUAUACCUUUUCUUUUGUAUCUAUAUGAAUCGAUAUUAUUCCAUUCCAAUUCCUUACCAAUACCUCCCAAGGAAAAUCCCGAAUUGGAUUCCAUCCAUAUAGUAUUUAUAGUAUAACUCGAUAGAUUACAAGAGUAAUACACAUUGACAACACAUAUUAGAAAAGGAUGUUGACUUUCAAAAGGAUAGAUUUAUCCUUGGAUUUCUACGACCUCAAAUCAUUAUAAUCUUGUUCUCUAGAACUAGUGAUCAAAUGAUUUAGAACCUUAACAAAGGUUGAAACCAUGAGAAAGAAAGGAGAUGGGUAUGAAUUAUGUAGCUCGGUAAUUCACCCUUAACUAAGCAUCAGUCAAUUGCUUGAGAAGUUGAAAACUUAGUGGCACACUACUCCAAGUCAUUGUCCAAAGAUAAAAAAAAAUAAAGAAUGAUUACUUUAAUCAGAGUGAUUUUUUUCAUUGUAAAUUUUAAAUUGCAGUUCCAUCAAGUGGCCUAAAAAAAUCAAGAACAAAUUAUUACGAGCUAUUAAAGUAAGAAAAUGAUUCGCCUUGGAUCAUCGCUUGUCUAAUAAGUACUUUGUAUAGCCUGUCUUUGCCAAUAUAACAAAAUGUAAUCAAGAGAAGAAAUGGACAAGCACAAAUUACACCUACAUGCACGUGAUAAGUAGCAUAUUUAGUGUUUUCAUAAUGACAAUAUUUUCAUCAAUGUUUGUAUGUGGGGUGUUGUGGGAAUCAACAUGGAGGCGAUCACACUUUCAAAUGUAUACGACACAUUCAAUCAAAAUAUAAUUGAUAAGAUGAUUCGACUUUAAAUUACCGCUCGUAUACAAUUUGUCAAUAUCCAUAUGACAAAUGUAAUUAACAAAGAGAAUAAACGGGCAGAGACAAGUUGGACUCACGUGACAUGGAGUUCUAUCUAGAGAUGACAACACGUGUCCCAAAUCUUUUUUUGAACUCAAUCUUUGCACAACAGGUUUCAUAUCUUAAAAUUUUAAAAGCCUGUCGAAAUGAGAUUAAAAAAUCAAAGCCAACUCCAUCUGAAUUUAUGUGGGUUUGCACCAAACUCAUAUUCAACUUGUUGUAAGCCUAGUAAAAUGAGCAAAUAAAUUAUUACUACCAUCAUGGGGAGAUCUCCUUUCAGGGGAAAAAUACUAAAAAAAUCUUAAACAUAUUACAUUGGUACCAAUUCAAUCCUAAACCUUUCAAAUGGACUAAUUUAAUCAUAAAAAUUUUCACAUUAAUAUCAAUUCAAUUAAUGAAAAUUGUUGAUGUAGAUGUUAGAUGUCCUAGUCAACAAAAAGACUUAAUUAGACCAAUUUGAAAAUUUUUAAGACUUGAUUAUAUUUUUUGAAAUUUUUAAGACACGAAUAUAUUUUAAUUGCAAAUAAUGUUUAUUUUGCAUUCUAUAUUUUUUUUAAGUGACAACGCUAACAUAUAUUUAUCAUAUUGUUGAUAUUCAAUAAUAAGUCUUUUAUGGUGUUCCAAUUGAUAACUUUUGCAAAAAUAUUGAAUAUGAAAGAGCAAUUUAAUAAAAAUUAAAAUAGAAUAUAAAAAAAAGGACGGCCUGUUUAUGGGUCAACCUUGGGACUUAUUGAUGCGGCUCGAGGCUGGUUUUAGGAUCAACGAGUUCAUAUCAUAUUUCAAGUUAAGGAUAAAGGCUUUGAUAGAGUAAGUUCUGCGUUCUUGGUGCGAAACAUAUUUUUCCUGGAACAUCAACCCUAAUAAGAAGAUGCAUAUAGAAAUAUAAGUGAAACGAAAGUGACAAUUUUCUUUGACAGUUACCUUUUUUGCACGAUAAAAAGUUUGUCUCAUUUUUACGACGGCUUUAAUCUCUCUCCCCCAAGCAGGGUAAUUGCUCCUUCACUUGCAUCAUUUCAUCAUAGUCAAAGUUUGGUAAUGGUACAGUGAAGAUGGACGCACUGAUGUGUAGUACAACGUGGCCUUUGGUCUCGGAUGGCAGUCGUCUUAUCCGUCACGUGAAGUCCUUUUUUACACUAUUCCUACGCACUUGCAAUGUAUAAUAAUGGCAGGACAGUACAAUGAUUUUUCUUAUAAACAUGAAGCCUUUUUACUAAGUGGUCUAGCUCCAGAUAUAUUGGAAUAAUGAAGCUUUAAUGAUGGGUGUCAUUUUAAAUUAAGAGUGAUGGAAAGAAAUGCAUGGACGGGUCUUAAUGCCUAAGCAUUAUUUUUUCUUUUCCCAGUAAGUCAGAUUUUGGUUUUGACAUGCCGAGAAUCUUCAGAUUUUUGUGAUAGAAACACAACAACUUUUUGCUGGAACAUUUUAUUAGCAGCUGGGAUUUAGUACUAUACAUCCAUCAAUUUAAAACAUUAACAAAGUUUCAAACCACGACGAAAAAAAGAGGAAAUUGGUACAUGCUAUGGAGCUCUCAUCCUUUCCUCCGCCCUAGUGGACAGACAUUGGGUAGGUAUCCAUCCUUUCAUCAUUUGCCACCGCAAAUGGUCCUUUCGUCCGUUUCAACCGCCAAAGAACUAGUCCCGAUCCAUCCUUUCAUCCUUUCUACCACCAUUAAUGCACAAACGCUAAUUAGGUACUAGUCUUAAAUCCGAUCCAUGCGCAGAUCAAUGAAAUCAUAUUUAAAAUCUAAAAUUAACAUUAUAAUUAAGCAAAUUGUUGUAUUAGAAUGUCAAUUGUAAUUGUCACAUUAGAAGUGACUUCAAGUAAAAAUUGUUGGAUUAGAACUCCUAGGAAAAUUAAACCUUUUCUGUCCUUGUUUCUUGAAUACUGCUACUCCGUACAUGACAAAAUAAAUAUAGGAACGAUUGUGAGCAACGACUGACGCGCUUUGUGGCCCCUCAUUCUAAUUCUAAUUAUCACAAAUGCUUGGGUCUGUUUGGAGCUUUCACUUCUGAUAUCUAUUGUCCAAAUAUUACAAUUAUCACAAAUUGAUUUUCAAAGCCUUCAAAUCUAUACAAUUAUUGACAAGUAGAGUUAUUGUUUUUUAGUAAUUUAUACAACCUAAUUAUUUUCAUUUUUUAAUUUUUUGAGCGAAAGCAAAACGCAGAAAAUGGUGCUUGAAAAGUAUAGACAAAUAGAACAAGUUAACCAUAGAAGUCAUCUGACCAAAAAAAAAAAACCAAAGUCAACAAAAAUGAUGAUGGAAUGGUGUAUGGAGUCUUCUAUAUUCCUAAUUCAUGACAGUCAUUUUGAACAACGUUAUCAUAAUGAAUAUAGAUCUUUAAAAAAAAAUGACUAGGAAGAUAUUAACAGAGCAGGACUCAAGUUCUUCUUUUGAAACAUAUCUAUCGUGAAACAUCCCCCUAAUAAGAAAAUGCGGAGUGGGAUAUAGUAUAGUGAUUUUCUUUGAUGACUACUGUUUUUGCAAGAUAAAAACUUUAAUUUUUUGUUCACCGACAACUUUAAUCUCUCGUAUCAUUUUUUUUUUAGUCAAAGUUCGGUACUAAAUUUGUGAAGAUGGACUCACUGAUAAGUAUUGCAACAUGGUCCUUGGUGUCAGAUACCAGUUGUACUAGCGGUGACUUGAUGUCAUUUUCACACCCUUCCGCUCCAUGCUUAUUUAAAUAAAUGGGGUACAUUAAUAUCCGUUGUUUUAAUUCGAGGUGAUAAUGAGAAAAAUAUGUGAUGAGUAUUUAGAACUGAGCAUUACAUUUCUCAUUUUGUAGUAAGCCAGAUUUUGGUCCUUGACAUGAUAAUCUUUAGAUUUUGAUGAUGCAAACACAGCAACUUUUUUUUGAAAUAUUUUAUUAUCAACGGCUGAGAUUCAAUAGUAGAGAUCUAAUGAUUGAGAACUUUAACAAAUACACAAACCACCAGGAAGAAAUAGGAGAUUAGUACAUAUUGUUUAGAGAUAUUUAGGAUAUUUUCUAAGCUAUCAAAAAAGAAUGAAUCAAAUUGAAUCUUAGUUUUUUACUCAUUUAUGCCGUCAUUUUUAGUCAUUUCAUUUGAAGUAACUUCUCAAUUUUGUCAACAUCAUCUUUAGUCAUUUCAUCUUCAGAGGAAAUAUUUUUCUCUAACACAGAUAAUGGAGCUCGGCAACUUAACCUUAAUUUAGGCUAAACUGAGCACCAAUAGAUUUCUUUAGUGUAGAAAUGAAUGAUGUUCUGUAUUAUUAUUCCCAAGCUUGAACAGUACCAUCAACACUGUCUGGUCUCCAUCCUAUCCUCCACUGCUAAUGGACAAACACUGAUUGUCCACGAGUACUUGCGUCCAUUGGUCCUUUUAGCUUUUUCAAAACGCAUCUUUGUUAAAGGCGGAGAGGGAGAUUGAUGGGACAUCCUGCUAGCAAAUGUCUAGUCAAAUUAGGACCUGUUUUAGUCACUCCUUUAUCAUCGACCCUUAUUUGACUGUUCUACGACAGGCGUGAGCGAGGAGAAGGCACUUGCAAUUUAGUUCUUUAUUUUUUUGACAAGAUAUGAUGAAUCAUCAUCAACUUCACCGUCCACGAUUUUUCUAAAUUAAUAAAACUUGCAAAAUUAUUAUUUCUCUAUAUAUAUACCUUGAAGAAUCUAACGGGAACUGUCUGCCCGCAUAAUUAUUUGAACAAGAAUGUUUGAAUAUGAAUGAAAUAUCAUAAUAUAAAUGCAGAAUGAGAGACACAAGAUGUGUACUCACAGUACUUGGCAGUAUUUGCUAGUUUCAAGAGUUAUAAUCAGCACCCCCGAACUAUAUAAUAGGGUGCAUAAUCUUAAUCAAUCUUAACUUAUCAAUGUUUGUGCUCUUAGACUAUACAUAGGGUGCAUAACAUAAUCUCAAGUCUUAGCCACGUGUACAAGGGAUAAAAGCAAGCAAAGUGAAGCUAAAACAAACUAUAAUACAAUGCAAGAUUAGAAAUUUGGAGACAUGCCACUGAUGAAUUAAGCUUGGGAUCUUUCCAUGAAUCUCUAAAAGAAUAUGGCUACAUCACCACUUUGAAAAAUGAAUGCUUUGAUUCAAAUGUGCUAGAUAAGUGAAUCCUGCUAAGAAUAAUGUGUUUGGAGAUGAUCGGCAAAAUGAUGCGAUUGUCUCACCCCAACUUGUUCACAUCACUUCUAUAAAUCAAUUAUUUUAGUUGUUAUAUAUCUCUUGCUUUAUAAUAUUUAAACGAUAUGUGCGUAAUAAAUUAUAAAAUUUUACCUUGAUUGGUGCUUGGCUAGACACGAGUAAACUCUAAACACUAGAAGACAUUGGAAUUUAAAAAAUUGGAGUAUUUGAAAAAUAUGAGUUUUUUCGACUCAAAUGGUUGUAAAAAUAAGAAGAAUAGAAAAGAUCAGCUUCGACCGGCUUAGGAAACUCCAUCACGCAUGAGCGAAUGAAGUUCCUUGUCGCCUUUCAUAACCAAAUUUUGAAGAAACAAAAUGGUUUUGUAAUUGCAUGAACCCAAUGCUCAUGAGCCCAAAUGAUCUCAUUAUUUGUAUUACAUCAUUUUUAAUUGAGAUCCAAAUGAUGCAAAUUGAGCUUAAAUAUCGGCCUACUACCACUCUAUCUAAUUAGUUAAAUAGAGUGGAGUUUUUAACAGGUGGAAAUAAAGUUUCGUAGGGGAGGACAUAAAAUUAGAGGAUCAAAAUUGACAAGUGCUACUUAUUAUUUUACUCGGGUGGUCAAGAAAUGUACAAGACUAAGAUUUGAUUGUGAUUAAUGGGUAGAUAUACACAAGAAUCUUCUAUUUCAUCAAAGUACAAGCUGCAGGACUUUUACUACUCCUGGAAAAUUGCACAAUCAGUCCAAAACUUAUCACACAAUGUCAUGGAGCUCCAAAUUUUUUAAUUUAAUUAAUUUAAUCUCAAUCCUUUGAGCAAAAUUGUAAUCAAGUCAUUUCAGCAAUGAUUUGACAUGGACGAAGGUUGCAAUGAAACGAUGCUGUUUUUGUUGAAAUUAAUGGCAUCUUUACUAAGUCAAGUGGCUAAGCUUAAGCCCCAAAUCACCAAAUCUCUAGCUCUAAGGCUUGACUUAAACAAAAGGGUUGGCGAUUCCAACAUCAAGAAUCCAUGACUAAAUCUACCAAACAGCAGCAAAUAGAAGCAAAGCCGCAACACCCACACCAGCAAGCAGCUCCACCCUUCCGAAAUAAAAACUACCACAGAAGUACACAGAAACGAACUAACCACAAAAGAGGCACACAACAAAACAGAAGCAACUUCAUUUCAACAGCAAAAAUGAAAAUUGCCGACAGACUCCCAUUUUGGCCCAACUACAAAUCAACUCGGUUUAUCAUCUUGGGUUUAUUUCCGCAUUGUAGCGAAAAUAUCUUGGGCGGGAUGCUCCACACGCUAAAGGUCAACCAGAUAUAGAGAGAGUGGGGACCCUUUAUUAAAUAACGUCUUGUCAAAUUAUUGCAUUGGGUAUUUUGAGCAACGCGCGUUGCUAUUUUCCAGGGCUCUAUCAGAGAGGGUACAAUGUGGAGCCCCUUUUUUGCAUUACUGGUUCAAACAUGAGAUUGUAAUAAUAAUUCAUUGCUUCUUUUUUGGAAAUAAUAACUUCUUUGAGGAUGACAACGAAAGUAUAGGACGAAAGUAUAGGACGAAAGUAUAGGAUAAGAGUUCUGAACGUUAUUUUUCAAAUCAUUCCCUACUCAAGUUAGCCAGUAAGUUUACUAUUACCGUAUGAAAACUUCCUUCAUGUGGUAAAUUAUACAUUGAUUGACAUUCUUAUUCUAAUUCCAUCAUCAAAUUGGAUAUGAUAGAGCAAUUAAUAAAAAAAUAAAACAGAAAAAACAAGAUGGCCAGUUCUUAAGUCGACCAUAGAAUUAGCCUAUGCAAUUCUAAGCUAUUAUAGGAUCCACCACUUCAAUUAAUGAAAAUAGGGAAUUGAUUUUCACAUGGUAAUUUUCAAGUUUUUGUUUUGAAACAUACCUAUUAUGAAACACAUCUAACAAGAACGGAUAGAAAUAUGGGUGAAAUAUAUAGAGCGAUUUUCUUUGACAGCUAUCAUUUUACAAGAUAAGUAGUUCAAUUUUAUUUUCACCGACAGCUUUAAUCCCUUGGUUAUUUUUUUAGAGUCGAAGUUUGGUAUUGGGUAGGUGAAGAUGGACACAAUGAUAAGUAGCACAACCCGGUCCUUAGUAUCGGAUGCCAGUUGUAUUAGUGGUGACGUGUCACGUGAGCCCUUUUUUGGCUCCUCUGCAGCGUACAUUAAUGGGGGAACAGUGUUAUGUCUUUUCUCUAAACGCCAAGGCUCCACUAACAGGUCUUAAUCCAUAUUUAUUUAAAUAUAUGGGCUGCAAUAAUGUCUCUGCUGUUUUAUUUCGAGGGUAAUAAAGAGAAAUAUUGUGCAUUACAUUUUCAAUUUGUAGUAAGCCAAUUUUGGUUCUUGACAUGAUGAUCUUCAGAUUUUGGUGAUAGAAACUAAACAACUUUAUUUGGAAUAUUUUAUUAUCAACUGAUGAGAUUCAAUAGCAGAGAUCCAACGAUUUAUAGCCUUAACAAAGACACAAAUCAUGAGGAAGAAAGGGGAGAUUAUUUAGGAUAUUUCCUAAUCCAUCAAGAGAAAAUGAAUCAAAUUUAACCCUAGCUUUUUGUUUCUUUAUACUGCCAUCUUUAGUAGCUUCAUGGUUUUUUUCAACACCGUCUUUAGUCAUUUUAUUUUCAGAAAAAAAUAUUCAAAACAUCUCUAAUACAGAUAAUGGAGCUUGGCAGCUCAACCUUAAUAUAGACCUAAACUAAGCACCGAUAGAAUUCUUUAAUAUAGAAAUGGAUGAUUUUCUGCAUUAUCAUUCCUUUGCUCGAAUAGUGACCAUCGGCAAUCUAUGGUCUCUAUCUUAUCCUCCACGGCUAAUGGACAAACGUUGACUGUCCAUGAGUACUUUCUUUUUAGCUUUUUCAGAACGCAUCUUUAUUAAAGGUUGUCACGAGAAGGAGAUAGUCAUUCACUUGUUGGACAAACAUUGAAUGAUAUUCUGAAUUAUUAUUCCCAUGCUUGAACAGUACCAUCAACCGUGUCUGGUCUCCAUCCUAUCCACCACUGCUAAUGGAUAAACACUGAUUGUCUUUUCAGCUUUUUCAGAACGCAUCUUUAUUAAAGGUGGUCAUGAGAAGGAGAUAGAUGGGACGCCCUACCAGCUAGUGUCUUUGUCAAAUUAUUGCAUCUUCUGAACCUCUUUUAGUCAUUGUCUUAUUAUUGACCCUUAUAUGAGGGGACCACGUCAGGCAUGGCAGAGGACAUGGUAAAUGCAAUUUUGUGCUUUAUUUAUUUUUUGACGAGAUGUGAUGAAUCCUUAUUUUUGAUAAUUAUUAUUUUCUUUAAUAUACACCUUGAAGAGUUCAAUUAUGCCCUUAUGCUUAUUUGAACAAGCAAUUUAGGAAUAUGAAUUUAAUAUCAUAAUAUAAGUACAUAGAAUGAGAGAAGACACAAGAUGUAUUAAUGAUUCAUGAUAGUAUUUGCCAAUCUCAAAAGUUAUAAUCAGCACUCUUUGCUUGGUCAAGCGGCUAAGUUAAAGCCCCAUAUCACCAAAUUUCUAGCUCUAACGCUUGACUUAAACAAAAGGGUCCAAUGGUACACAGUCCCUAGGUCCAAAAUCGAGAGUCCAUAAUCCAAUCUACCAAAUAGCAGCGAAUAGAAGUAAAGUUGCAACACCCACACUAGCAAGCAAUGCGACCCUUCAGAAACAAAACUGCCAUAGAAGUAUUUUACCAAAAAAAAAAAAAAAACCUGUCAUAGAAGUACUCAAAAACAAACAAACCAGGAAAGAGGCACACAAUAAAGCAGAAGCAAAUUUCAUUUCGACAGCAAAAAUGAAAAUUACCGAAGGACCCUCGAUUUUGCCCAACUAUAAAUCAGCUUGGUUUAUCAUAAAUCAUUGGUCAAUCAGAGACAGAGAGAGUGGGGACACUUCAUUAAAACACGUCUUGUCAAAUUAUUGGAUCGAGUAGCCUCCACACAACGUGCAUUGCUUUGGUUCGGUGACAUAGCUCUAUCAGAUGAGAUAUGUGUGGACCUCAUUUUUUUUCUUCUCUUUUGGCAUGAAUGGUUCAAUCAUGGAAUUUUCGUGACUGCUUUUUGGCAAAUAAUAACUUUUCUUAGAGUGUCCUAGAAAACGAGAGUUUUCCUAUAUUCUACGUAGACUUCAUUCAUGUCAUAAAUUAUACAUUGUUUAAUAUUCUUCUUAUAAUGCCAUAAUCAAUUGGAAACUUCUAUCUCUAUUUACUUUAAAUUUCAAAAUACCACAAAAUUUUAAAUUAAAAAUAAAGAAAACACUCAAUAAAAUGUAAAAUGGUCAUAUGUAUAUAAUGUGUGUGUAUGAAAUUUUUUUAUAAUGUUCUACCUAUUGACAUAUUAAACUUGAGCUAACUUAGACUCUUAUAUCUAUUUAAUGUUAUCCAUUAAUUGAAAAUAAGUCUUGACUUUUCAUGCAUUAUCAUUUUAUAAGGAAAUUUUAUUAUUUUUGCCAAAUUGUAAGAUUAGAAUGUCAAAUUACUCUUUAAUCUGUAUAUAUACUAUGGCUAUUUGAAAAGAUCAUGACUGCUUUUUAACCAAAAAAAAAAAAGUUAUGACUAAACAAAACAUCCAAAUUGAAUAUUCUCAUGUUCUUUUCUUUAAUAGCAUUCUUCCAAGUUUAAGAAUUAUGGAUUUUUUUUGGAUAAUACCACAUAAUUUUCUUAACCAGAUCGAUAUGUGAUCGUAUUCAAAACUUCGUGCAAAUAUUUCAAGUCCUAAAGGUAUGGAUGAAUUUGGUUUUUCAAUAAGACCCUCCUGUCAGGCAUGCGAAGCCUUGGCCCAUUUCAAUUUUGAAGGUCAAGUCUAAAAGACCUUUUGAUAGCCUGCCCCUGCCCCCUUAUAACUGUAACGGCAUGGAAUCAUACCAUGCUCGGGCAUGAUUCCUUGCCACCCUUGCAUCACCUUGAGCAAAGUAAGAAUCAAGGCAUUUGUAGAAUUUGACAAAGGAAAGGAAUAAGAUUUAUACAAUUGAAAAGGGGAAAGAAUGAAUCAAGCCACAACUAGACAUAGCAUGAUUCAUGACCGGGAUGAGGCCUACUAUGUGAUCCAGACGUGCCUUGUUUCGUUUUCGGCAUACAUGCGAUUGGGCCUAACUUUGAUCCAUGUCCGGAACUUUCUUUACUCGCCACUCCCCUCCAUUGAAUGUUACCACAGUUUUUCCAUUUCUUAUAUUUUUGUUACCUUUUUUCACACCACUAUGCAAUUGGUCCAUAUUGCUAUUCUUUGAUUUACUAAAAUGCCCUUGCGUGGGAGUAAAAUUGAAUGAUGGAGUACCGUAAUUUUGCAACUACAUGUCAAUCUAGGCUAAUCUCAUUUAAUAAAACGAUGGCACCAUGUCGAUGCUCAAUUGAGUUUAUGCACAUAUUGAGUGGCCUUUAGAAUUUAGACAAUUCAAUUGAAGUGCAUGCUUAAUUUAAAUUAAGGAUUGCAAUUUUGUAUAAUUGUAUGCCAUCAUAAUAUCUCCGAAGUACUAGCUCCAUGAAUUCUUGCCACCCUUUCAAAAAUGAAAUGAUGUCAUGACUACGCAUUUCUAGUGCUAUAGUCCAAGUUGGUCCACUUCGAACAUUGGGAGGCACAAAAUUUAGAAGGCAAGAGAUUAGUUGAUUACUUGCGAUCUUCUUAAAUAUACGAACAGGUCUUUCAUGGAAGUUUCUUUGUAAAAAUGUGAGGUUGAAGAGGUCAUUGAUUUUUUAUUUUAUUUGAUAGAGUAAUUAAUAUUCUAAAGCAUAUAUACAGCAUCAUCAAGUUCAAAGUAUAAUUUGCAUUAGUCUUCAAGUUUUAUUUUAGCAACCUUUGUUUUAACUUCUAAAAGAAUACCUUACAUUAUUUUUUAAUUUCAUACCAAUUUUACUCAUAGGCAUAUUAAAGUAUGGGGCCAUCAAUAUUUCUCUAUCUUGACAUGAAUGUCUAUAUAUAACUUAUUAAAUAUAGUAAUGAAGUAAAAAAUAUAUUAACUAAUGUCAUGAUACGACCAAAUUAAAAUUAGAAAGUUUGAGUAAAACAAUUAACUUAAAAUAUGAAUAAAGGGAAAAUAGAAUUAAACUAACAUUUAGAAAAUUAUGUGGAAACUAUAGUCUUGGAGCCGUGCAACAAACAUGUAUUUUGCUAGUUCUAUGUAGACUUCAUCUGCAAUUACCGCCAACUAUUUUAUUUUAUCGAUAGAGGGGUAAGAUGGCCACAUCACCAACAUAUGAAUUCACUAGCUCAUAAACAUCUCACUCUGCAAUUAGACUAAUUAGGCCUACGCAAAGACAGGAGAAUUCUCAUAGACAAUGGCACGAACUUUCUAUCAUUCUACUUAGUUGAAAUUAAAAUGUUGCCUGUGUAUCAAAAUAUGUGAUCUAGGAAACUAUAGAUUAAGAAAGGCGUAUCGUGAAAUGGUUAUGAACUAGAAAAUAGAUUAUUGAAAAAAUUCUCUCUCAUUAAAACAUGAGAAGCACUGAUGUUGAGAGAUUCUAUUCAGAAACAAAAACAAAAAAAGGCUGAUAAAUUGCAAUUAGCUCGAAAAAGGAAGAAAAUAAAAGCAGAAAGAGUACACUUCUUCAUUGAUUCAUGACAAGUGCACAGAGGAGGCAUAGUUAAGAAUUCUAAAUUCAGGUCAACACUGCAAAAGGCCUAAAAUGACAUUUUCAAUGUUUUAACUCAAUCAACUAUUGGAUUAGUGGUAUUUGCUCCUUUGCCAUUUCUUCUUCGGUUAGGUUUCUUUACCAAGUGGAGUAUAAAUAUGUCCACCCGAUUUUGAACUUGUCCUUAUCAAUAAAUCCCGGUUUAAGGGAUUGAACCAUGAAAGCUCUGAAGAAAAUGACAUAUCACAUUCUUCCUACACUACAUCAAAUCCACUUGGCAAAAGAAAUUAGCAUUCGAGGCAGCGUUAGGUGACAUCUAUAUUGGAAUUUGAGAUAUGCUAGUGAUGAAUAAAGCUCUGGAUCUAAUCCCCCCCUUGGGAGGGGGAUGGAGGGCACCUCCUCAUAUGAGUUGGCUCCAAUUCGAAUUUGACAGCUAAUUGAUGAGGAUUGACGAGAGGGGAGACAUGUUGGACUUGGAUUGACCCUACAUCUAGGUUGUUUGAACUCAGAUGUACCAACACUCGAAUUUUUUUAGAUCAUUCGGAUAUCCAUUUUUUGUCAAAAUAUAAAAAUACAAAAAAAAGGGUAAAAACGACAAAAAUAUAGUAAUAAGAAAGAAAACAAAAAAUAAAUAUAUAAACAAGAAAAAUAGAUAAAAUAAAUAAAAUAAAAUUCGGGUAGGCCAUUUAUGCCUGGCCCGGUUUCUAAGCAAAAUUUAAUCCCUGAAUUGGCCCAAUUUUGCUCUUAUUUUUCCUAUUUUGUUCCAGCCCAACCCUUUUCCUCUGGUUUUUCUUCUCCCUUUCUCAGCCCAUUUUGUUUCCUCAAAAUAGAAAGAUCUCCCGCCGUUUGCUGCCAUCUACUGGAGUUCUCCGUUCUUGAGCUAGGCCACGUUUUGCAAAAAGAGCUGGUGUGGCUCUGUUCGUGGCCGAGUUGAUUCAAGGAAAAGCAAAUCUCCUCCGAAAACUCUUCACGAAGCCCAAAUCCCGUUCAUUGGUAGGACGUGAAGGAUUCGGUAGCCGAUUCGAGUUUUUAUCACAAGACGAACAUUUCAAGUCGGGUAAUCUCUGCUCUGUUUCGUUCGGUUUUGCUGAAGCUUAGAGUAUUAAACUUAGCCAUCGAACUCACGAGAAGACGUUACUAAACUGAUAUCAUUUUCGUCGUGAUUUGUGCUGAUCUAGAGGUUGAUGCACUGCGUUUAGACCGAGCACAGCAUCAAAUAUGGUCUCGGAACUUAUAUACAAAACACGCACGCCACCUGGUCGAUGAUUUGCGCAUUAGACGUUUUGAAUAUGACUUUGCAUAAUCGGAUGCUUGAUAAUGUUUACAUCAGUAGUGAUUCGUGUCUAGCACACUAACUGCUGCAUUCCUUUCCUUUUGGAUGCAUAUCAUGCUCAUGGUGUAGUUUGAACGUGGUCAGAGUCUCAAAUCCAUCCUUGUUUAUUUUGGUGACGAUCGCGAUUAGCUACGGCCGUGUUGGAUGCCUCCACCUCUCUUUCAAGCACUUGUGUUUCGUCCGGUUCUGGAUUGGUGUGUGUGACUGUUAAGUUAGAAAGGAAUUCUGUAUCGGUGGAGGAUGUGUGGGGGUUACCGCAGGGUAAGCCAUCGUCGACGAAGGUUUGACGACGGUCGGAGAUGAUUGGCAGUGACGGUUUGGUGACGGUGCUCGAGGUUGGCUGCCGACGUUGGAACGGUUGAGAUUUUGAAGUGCGUUGGUGUGGUGAGCUUUGAGUUUUUCCAUAGAGAAGAUUCGGCAAGUUGCGGGGGGAGAGAUUGGCUUCGGGAAGAAGACGACUCAAGAAGGGGAUGAAGGAAUUUUUUCUUUUUUUUUUUUACAAAAGUAAAAAGAGCUUUAAACAUUAAGGUUUUAUCUGACACGGGUUGGGUCCAGAUAGACGGAUCGGGUUAGCGGGUCGGGCCGGGUAAACAUGGCCCGAAACCCUUUCGCGAAUAUAAUAAUAACGAAAAUCAUUAAAAAAUCUUUAAAAGCAUAAUAAAAUCAUAGAAAAUCAUAAAAAUAAAAAAUAAAAAAAUUCACAAAAUUCAUAAAAACAUAAUAAAUAAAUAAAUAAAUAAAUAAAUCAUAAAAUCAUAAAAAAAUUUAGAAAACCUUGAAAAAUCAUAAAAAUUUAGAAAAUUGGAAUUCCUAAGAAAAUUUGCUAGCUCUUCAAAUAUUUUUUUCUCUUAAAGUUUGGAAAAUCCUUAAAAAGAUUAAAAUCCGAAAUUAAACAAGCUUUUAUGGAUUUACAAUAGGGAUUUUUGGAUUGCCAUUUUCUUUUAGAGACAAUAUUAAUGUUUUUUCUUCAAUUACACAUGAUUGGGUAGGAAGAAGAAAUGAGGGAAAAAUAAAGAAAAAACAAAAUAAAUAAUGAAAAAUGAAAUAUUAUUAAAAAUUGUCUACGUUAACGUUGACUGAAUGAUCGGCAUUUAUUUCAGCGCUGGUCAGCCAAAUUUGGUUAUAUGAACUAAAUUGGUAUGAUUGCAAAAUAUUUAUGACUAAAUUGGCAAAAUAAAAAUGUUUAGAAUUAAAUUAACAAAAUUGUAAAAGGUUUUGACCUUUUUGAUAAUUUUUCCUGAUGAUAGAACAUGAUUUAUUAAUUCUGGUGUAAGCUAUGGGACGAUGGGGGAUUGUCAUGCCAGAUCCAACGAUGGACAUCAAUUUAUCUUUGAUUGCAUAGUUGAGAUGCUUUGUCAUUGAACAGUUGACAUCAAUUUGCGAUAAAGUGAGCACACGACAUUUAGGAAGGCAUUACGCUACUUAUCUAAGGCAAAUAAAAUCAAUUCUCCACUAGUCUAGUAUUCUAUCUACUACUUUAUGCUUUCAAUUGUUAAUUCAGUUGUCACGUCAUUCUUGUGUUGUUAGCUAUCACGUUAAGUUUGGUUGAAAAAAAAAGGACAAUCAAAUGCUAUUAUAUCACUGACAUAUAAUUAGUAAAACUUUUGCAAUUAAGCCAUGUACAAGGACAAAUUAAUUCAAAUUCUAUAGAUCCAACCAGAUUUUAAUGCUUUCAGGUUACGUAAUAAAAUCCGAAAAUUUGUUUAAAAGAUUAUCAAGUACUUCACAUUAUCUCCUCUAAUUUAAGUGACAAAGUCCAAUGCGGUCUUUUCAAAUAUUUUUUUAUGACAGCUGAAAUUGAUAGUGCACCUCACUAUUUUUUUUUUUUUUUUAAUGUAAGAUCUUAAAGCUCUCAUGUUGUGGUCUUUUCCUCUAGCUCCCAUGGGAUAGUGGCACACUAAUAAGCACGAGGACCUAGGACCAAAAGCAUCGCGUGAUUGAUCCUUAUCGGUGGUCAUGAGCAGGGUGCCACCAUAUUUUGCUAAUAUUGGCGGUAUAUUUCCCGAAAGUAGUUAAAAGUGGCGGCAUUAUUAGGUUAUAUUGUUCAUCAUAAUUUACAAAACUAACUAAGCUAUUUGAUUGUGCCUGCUAAAUAAAAUCUAGAAUUUGAUUACAAUUUCAUUAAAAGUUUUCAAAGUUUCCAGUGCAUUUAUCUCCAUUCUACAUAGAAGCAUUCCUUGUAUGGACAUAAAAAUCGUGGAUGAUAAAUUUGCAUAUAUAUGUGCGUGUAUAUAUAUUUAAAUGUCAUGUGUUUAAAAGAUAUAUAGUCCUUUUUUUUUUUUUGACAAAAGAUAUAUAGUCCAAUUUACUUAGUCGAUUCUCUUCGACUUUUUUUAGUAUCUUAUCAAUUGGUUAGAUAUAUGCAAGCCAUCGUCGCCUGAAGUUCUGCUGCCGAACAGGAACCAUUUGACUAGAGAGAACACUAUCCUAACAACAGCGCAGGCAAAGAUGUCGAGAUGAAGGAGGCGGCGACGGUGAAAGGAGAAACCGAGAAGGAGCAGGAGGUCAUGACGUGUUUUUUGCGGGCGAAAAGGCCUCGAACGAAGGCUCAAACUUCUCUUAUGCACUAACGGUAAAACAGGGCAAAACAGAGGACUUCUCGCCAUCGGUGGGGAGGUGAUCGCUGGCGACGAUGGAGGACGUCCGACAACGAAAGAGAAGGAAAGGGAUUUUUCCUAGAUUCAGUCUUAUGAGAUUUUUCCUUUUGCGUUUUUGUUUGAUCACUAGUGGGGGUGAGUUUAAGUAACUCAAAUCUUAAGGUGGCAAGUAUCAUGCUCUAAAUGAUUGACCGGUUUCAUAGAUUAAAAUUUCUUUAAUUGAAACCAAUGUCUCUUUCACCAUCUCUAAAUCAAAUGUCUAAAAAAAUUUAGAAACUAAGGAAAUUCCAAUUUCUAUUUUGAGUCUGGUUAAAUUCUUCCAUUUAACCAAGAACUUGACCUUCGGCCAUUUGUAUGAAAAUCUAAAAUUUGAAGGAUUAAUAUCGACACCUAUAUGCAAUUUUUUUAUGUUUAGAGUUGACUUUUUUCUAUAAGUUUGACAAAAGAAUCAAUCUAAAAGUCAAUUCUUAAUUUAUAGACAAAUUGAUGCCUAAUUACUAAUGGAGUUAAAUGCUCCUAAUCCCUACAUGCAAUUAAGGUACCAAAGACGCUAAUCUAUAUUUUUUUUUUCUGUUAAGAAACGAGUCUCAACACAUUCAUAGAUCACAAGUUUUGAAUUUUCUAACUUUAACUUUUAAAAAAAAAAUUCAAGUAUCAACGUCACUUAAAAUGAAUCUUUGAAUUCUUAACAUAGUAAACAAAAAUCAGUACAUUCAUUUAUAGCAAAUAAUGCUCAAAUAGAGUGGUAGGGUCAUUGCCUCCAACUCAAAAUAGCUUGGAGUUGGAAAUAUAAUUCAAUUAGCAAUCUGUCGCGUACAAACAAGUGCUUCAUCAUACAACUUCCUAACAAUUUUUUUUUUUUUUCAUUUAGCCGUAAAAAGUAAACGCAUGGACUACUUUCUUUGUAUUUCACUUUCUUGCAAAAGCUUUGGUUAAACAAAAAAUGUUAGGACGUUAAGAAAAUACAUAUUAAACCCAUUAGGGCAGUUGAGCAACCAGAAACCUUAAAGAAGCGCCAAAUUCGAGGGACUCUUGCCAAAAUGAAAAUAUAGAACCAAAACUAGCACCAAGAAACAAUAAAACAUAAACAGAAAAGUAUCUCAUUUUCAUCAAUUCGCAACAGCCGAAUAAAGGAAGCAUAAUUAGAUAUCUUGAAUUCAUAUUGACGCUGUGAAUGGUCUAGAGUAACACGUCCGAUGGACAUCUCAAUCAAUGUUGAUGGAUUUAUGAGAUGGGCUUAAGGCCCGUCCGCCCAUGCUGGGCCCAAAAGGCCCGGCCCACGGGAAUAGGGCCCGUGGAAGGGGAAGGUAUAAAAGGGAGGAGAGAGAGGGAGAACGUAUCUCUUUGGCAGAAUUGACGUACGUCUUCUUCUCUCCCACGCGCUCUCUCUCCCUCCAAAAAGGACAGUAAGCACAAGGCCGCUGUUUUCUCCCUUUCAAGCGUCAUCGGAUCAAACAAAGGACAAAUUUCUCUUCCUCUAUCAGCAUUGGUGUCUAAUCUGUGGCUAACAAGGUACGCUCGAAUCCGUGGUGUGCUUUAGGAUCGGUGAUACGUGUAAUUCCCGAGCUUCGCUUCCGCAUUCGUUUUAGGGAUUCGAUUGAGUGUCGAAUCCGGUUUUCGGGGAUCAGUCAUUCCCAACAUUGGUAUCAGAGCCCUAGUUCACGUUUUCCCGAUCAAUUUGAUGCUUUUUGAUUGAUUUUUCGCGAAAAAACCUUCGGCCGUACAGAUCGGGCGAGAAAUCCCGACACCCUAGCGUUCUUCGGCCAUUUUUAUGAGUUUCAGUAAGUCGGAUUCAAAUUAUGAAGGCACUGGGUGAAAGGCGACGUCGAGAUGAGUCCGGCGACAUGUCGUGCGUCGCCGGACGACGCCGCACGCGCCCACACGCGCGGCCACAAGCCGCUGCACGUGGGCGCCACGCGCCCGAAGCGCUGGCUAUGGCCAGCGCGUGCUCCACACGCGCCGGUGACGAACCGGCAUGUGCGCACCGGCGACCGGCGAAACGGCACGCGCCGGUCCGGGGAACCGACGCGUGCUGACGUCACGCGAUGACGUCAUCGUGACGUCAUCCAACGGUCGGUAACCGCUCGGAUGACGUCACCGAUGACGUCAUCACCGGCGACAAUUGGCCAGCCGAUCACCGGCCGACGACCCGACCCAACGGCGACCGACCCGACCCGAUUAGCCUGGCGCAUGCCGCGCACGUGCGGCUGACGUCUGCGUGACGUCAGCACGCUCACGCGCGAGGCACGUGCCGGAUGACGUCUGCGUGACGUCAGCCACCGCACGCGCGCGGCACGUGCGGUCGGUCCGUCCAACCCGGUCCGACCGGCCCGUCCGGUCCGACCAGCGCGACCGGUCUGACCUGCGCCCGUUGACACGACCCGUUGACUGCCCGUUGACUGACCGUUGACCGUUGACCGACCGUUGACCGUUGACUUUGACCGUUGACCGUUGACAAAAAAAAAAGAAUUUGUUUCUUUUUCAAUUAUGUCUGUGUGGGUUGUAGGUAAUCCAUUUUUUAUUCUGCAUUUGUUGCAUGAAUCAUGGAAAAUUAUGUAUUUUCCAUUUUAUUUAUUAUGGAUUAUAAUCGAUCCAUUUAAGUUCUGCAUUUGUUGCAGGAAUUAUGAUGCGUUAUGCACGGAUACCUGCAAUCCCAAGAACGGACGAAGGAAGAGCUAGACUGAAAAGGCUGAUUAAAGAGUUAGCUGAUUAUCGGUGGCUUGAUGGUGAUUUAAUAUCACACAUGGUCACAGUCAAUCAGAUGAUACAAGAAAUCAUCUGGAAUGGUUAUCUAAUGCCGGAUUUUGAGAAGGUGCUGGCUUUGAUGAACACUCUUCCACCUGAAUGGCAAGCAGUGUUAGAUCGGCUAUGGGAGGUCAAUGUGGUCCCGGGUUAUAAGGAGCUAGUGGAAGCUUUUGUAAGAGAGUACUAUAGGAUUGAGUUGGCCAAAACUUCAACCCUUAGAUUGAGCGCCACAUGGCGCAGAGUAAAUGCGCCUUGGUGGCGACAUGAAAGCUCUCCAAAAGUUUUUCCAUGGUUGGCAAAUGUGCCUUCAGUUUUCUCAGAUGUUUUGGCUGUAGAUUAGAAGGGACUUUCCCUAUUUAUUUCUUUGAUUAAUUAUGUAAUGUUUACUACCUGAUUGUUGUUGAUGUAGCAACCGAUAUGUUAGUUGUAUCAUUUGGAAGCAUUGUUAUUUUAUUCGAUGUUAGAUAAUGUUUGCUUUCUGUUACUGCUGAUUGCUGUGGGUAGUUAGCUGUGGGUAGUUAUAGAAGUUUUUGUAACUUCAUAGAAUUGAUUUUACAUAUGACAAUCAUAUUGAUGAUAGUUUUAAGUUAGGAUUUUUGGAGGAUGAUUGGAAACGUAGUGACCUUUUGAUUCUGAAGCCUUACUUAAAAUUAUUCAUUAAUAUGAUGGGUCUAUGCAAAUAGGGAUGCAUAAAUGAUAGGCAUUAAUUAUUCGUGCAUGUAUGUCUGAUGUGUUCAGAUUGAUGUUUUCAGCAACUAAGGACGUAAUUGCUGAUAUGAACGGCAACAAUUGUGAAAUAUUGAAUAUGAAGAUUUAGUAUGUGCUGGAAAAGCAAGAAGCACUAGAAGCUCUUGACCAUCUUAUGAAAGAUCUAGAGGAUGCUGUGCGCCACCUUGAGCUGGUUGAGGACCGCUUAAGGGCAUGUGAGCUGAGAAUAGACAUUUGCAAUACUGGUUCUAACUCAGAAAGGGCUUUGUGCUCUAAGCGCAAGCGUAUUGAUUCGUUCAAUAUGUGGAAAUGCAAAGGAUCAAGUCCAUGUUGCAAGAGACCAAGAGUUAACCAACACAAGAGAGGAAAACGUCCUCAAGUGAAGAAAAUGUCAAGGGUGAUAUGUUACAACUGUGACAAGAAGGGUCAUUAUGCUCGCGACUGUCGUGAGCCGAAGAAGGUAAACACCUCUUGUACAUUUGAGAACUUUGCUUAUGUGUCAAGUUCUGUAUUAUUAGCUAAAUCCAAUCCUUUGUGGACUGUAGAUUCAGGAGCAACAGACCAUGUAGCGAAGGAUAGAGGAUCCUUCGUGGAAUUCCGACGAUACCAAUUGGAACUAAGUGGAUCUAUAUUGGAAAUAACUCCAGAGCUGAAGUUAAAGGGAUUGGCACCUGCCAAUUGAACAUGCAUAGUGGACGCAUCUUGAUGUUCUAUAUGCUCUGGAGAUUCGUCGAAAUUUUGUGUCUGUUUUGGCGUUGGUUAAGCUUGGUUUUUAGUAUGAACUUCCAUAAUAGAUGUGUAGAUUUGUAUUUGAAUACAAACUAUUAUGAUUUUGGUCACUUUCUGGAUGGUUUUAUUGUACUAAAUGUUGACUGUGGUAAUGUCGAUAUGUUAUUCCCUUGUUUCACGUCUUCUACUUUAUAUGAUAAUGAUGUGAAUAUGGUGGCAUGCUAGACUUGGUCAUAUGGGCCAACAACAUAUGAAAAGACUAGCCAAAAAGGGCUUGUUGGGCAAUAUUGAAAAAGUCGAUUUGCUUAUAUGUAAGCAUUGCCUAAAAGGGAAAACGACAAGGAAACCAUUUGGAGAAGAUAAAAGAGCUGAAUUUCCUCUGCAUUUAAUCCAUUAUGAUAUCUGUGGUUCAAUGAAUGUUAGAAGAAGGCAUGGGACUGUUUAUUUCAUCACUUUUAUAGAUAAUUAUACUCGAUUCGGAUAUGUCUAUUUUGAUUUCUCAUAAAUCUGAAGCAAUAAGUUCUUUCAAAAGGUUUAUGACAUUGGUAGAAAAUCAAUUAGACAAGAAAAUAAAAGUAUUUUGAUCCGAUCGAGGCCGAGAAUAUUUAUCUGAUGAGUUCAGAAAAUUAUGUGGUGAAAAGGAAUAAAAAUACAGUUGUCUAUUCCAUAUACUCAUCAACAAAAUGGUGUUGUAGAGAGAAGAAACAGAACCCUAUUGGAAAUGGUUAGGUCCAUGAUGGCGCAUGCUAACUUACAUAUCACCUUUUGGAGUGAUGCGUUGUUAACUGCUGCCUAUAUACUUAACCGGAUGCCUUCCAAAUCAGUUACUUCUACUCCAUAUGAGUUAUGGACAGGUAGAAAACCAGACUUAAGUUUUCUUGAGUCAUGGGGUUGUGCUGUCUAUAUUCAUAAGUCCUCUCACAAGUUUGGGAAAUUUGGUCCCAAUGGAAAUAAGAGUAUUUUAAUGAGAUACUCCGAACACUCAAAAGGGUAUAUGUUCAUAGGUGAGCAGGAAAGUGGGAGAAUAACUGAAUUUGAAUCACGGGAUGUCACAUUCUUAGUGGAUGAAUUUCCUAAGAAGGGCGAAAUUGGGAAAUAUUACUUCCUAUUUGAAACCUUGGAUCAAGAUAAUGAUGUCAGUGGAGUUCAUCCAAGUGGGAGUAAUAUGAGAAGUGUUAAAUUGAAUUCAACUCAUUCUCAAUUGCAACCACAUGACGAUAUGACAUCAUCAUUAUCUAAUUCAAGUGGGAGCAUAAUGGGGAAUGAUGUGCUAAGUGUACAAUCUCCCAUACGGUAAACAAGUCGCCAAAGUAUUCCCCGUCGACAUCUUGACAUUGAAGGGGAAACUUUUAUGAUUGCUCCGCAAGAUGAGAAUGAGCCAAGAAAUAUUAAUGAGGCUCUUAAAUGCCUUAGUAAGGAAAAAUGGAUUUAUGCAAUGAAAGAGGAGAUGGAGUCAAUGAAGUCAAACCAAGUCUGGGAACUGGUUGAUCUUCCAAAAGGGACGCAGAGCUAUUGGGAACAGAUGGGUUCUCAAAAUAAAGCGAAAGGCUGAUUGCUCAAUAGAAAGGCAUAAGGCUCGCCUUGUGGCGAAUGGGUAUAAUCAACAGGAAGGAAUAGAUUAUGUAGAAACAAUCUAUCCUGUAGUGAGAUUUACCUUGAUUCGCAUAAUUCUGGCAAUAGUUUUUGGUAUGGAUCUUGAGUUACGUCAAAUGGAUGUAAAGACUGCUUUCCUCAAUAGAGAAUAAGAGGAAUGAAUAUAUAUGGAACAACCUACUGGUUUCAUAGUAAAAGGCCAGGAAGAAAAGGUAUGUCGACUUUGGGGGUCGAUAUAUGGCCUUAAGCAGUCGUCAAGACAAUGGUAUAUACGUUUUCAUAAUACCAUAAUGGCAUAUGAUUUUACAAUGAUAGAUGAGGAUCAUUGUGUAUAUAUCAAAAGAUCCAAUGAUCAAUUUGUGAUCAUAUCAUUAUAUGUUGAUGAUAUACUAAUUGCCGGAAGUAAUAUGGAGUUUGUCAAUACAAUCAAAAGUUGGUUGUCUUCCAAAUUUUGAAUUGAAUGAUAUGGGAUUGUAAACCCAUUGACACUCCUAUUGCAAAAGGUGAAGGAUUGAGCCAUAGACUGUGUCCGAGGAUUCCACAAGAGAAGGAACAAAUGAAACAUGUUCCUUAUGCUAGUGCUGUUGGGAGCUUGAUGUAUACUAUGAUGUGUACAAUACCUGACAUGUGUUAUGCAGUUGGAAUGGUGAGCAGAUACCAAUCCAAUCCAGGUCAAGCACGUUGGAAAGCCGUUAAGAGAAUACUGAGGUAUCUAAAGUGGACUGCUGAUUAUACGUUGAGUUAUUAUGGAAAGGAUCCGCGACUCUAAGGCUAUUCUGAUGUUGAUUGGGGAGGAGAUUUAAAUGAAAGGAAAUCUGCCUCUAGGUUUGUUCUCUUACCAAAUAAUAGCACCAUGUGUUGGAGCAGUAAGAAACAAAAGUAUAUAGCCUUGUCCACGAUGGAAUUGAGUUCGUGACAUUAUCAGCAGUAGUAUAAGAAGAUGUUUGGCUUAAGAGAUUAUUGGAUCAUUUAGGUGUUAUUGGAAGUGCUGCAGAUUUGUUAUUGGUUAAUUAUGAUAGCCAAGCAGCGAAAGCAUACACCAAAGAUCCAAAAUAUCAUGGCAAGACCAAACAUAUAGAUACCAAGUAUAAUUUUGUCAUGGAUAUGAUUGCACGAAAAGAGGUGAACUUAGAGUACAUACUACGCAUGGAAUGGUAGCAGAUCCUAUGACAAAGCCAGUACCUAGAGAUGUGUUUUGUGGCCAUAUGAAAUCUCUAGGAUUGCGUAGAGGCUGAUGUACUGAAUAUUGUAAUUUCCCUAAAUGUUCACAUUUGAUGAAUUUUUGUUUUCAUCAUUGAUGCCUAUGAAUUUUUAUUUGAUCUUUAUGCAUCUUAAUGCUCAGUGCAUUACUUUAAGUUAGGAAAGUAUGUCAGACAUAUAUGAGAUUAGCCCACUCACACGGGUAAUCGCCUCUAUUUACUGUGUGAUAAAUAGAGAUGAAACUGUUUUUAAGCUUAUUAUCUAGGUGAUAAUCGAGAGCUCAAGCUUAAAACAUGUAUGUCGCAUUAACUGAGUGUUAAGAUGAGGACAUAAUACUUACUAUGUCCGAGAGUAAAAUACCCCACAUUUUUUAUUUUAUCUGUCUAUGAUGCCAGAUGUGAGUUCUGAUGAAUUUAGUGAAUGAGUAGAUACGUGAACUCAAGUUAGACAUUGGGUAUGUCUGAACUAUCAUCUGUACGGUAUUGAAAGAUGUAGACAUACGCUCCAUGGGAAAAGAGUUAAUACCGUAAUACGUAUUUCAUACUACGCAUGCAUGAGACGACCAAUAAGAGUGGCAAAAGUUUGAUCUCAACUUUUUAUGUCGUGUGAGACUCUUGAGGAAUAGAGUUCCUCAAUUUUUAGUCCCCUCAUGACUCUUACUUAUUCUCAAGAUUUCUAUUUAGUGUUUGCUAUCUUAGGAUGUUGCCAAUGGUCAUGAUUUUGAUUCAAUCUAAUGGGGCAUUUCUAGAAAAGCAAGCUGAACUGAAAUUGAGAGUUUGAAGAAAAGAGGAAGAUCGAUUUUGGAGAAUCACAUUGUAGUUUUGUAUUCACCGGUUAACCAAUUAUGAAUGUCUCUGGGAUAAUCAUAAUUGUGAAUACAAUGUAUAUAUCAUUAUUUAAAAGAGAUCAAGAGAGAUAUAAAUGUGAUCAAUCGAUCUAGGGUACUGCAUACUAAAUCUACUCGGAGUGUGAUGCCCAUUAUGAGCUGCUAUAUAUUCCUAACAGAUGUAUGACAACGAGCUCUCGAAGUAUGCUGGUUGCACGGAUUAUUCACCGGUAUGAAUGUUGAAGAGAGGUAAAGAGAAUUAUGUUCGGCCCACUAUGUGCGAGUGGGAGAUGAUGGAUUUAUGAGAUGGGCUUAAGGCCCGUCCGCCCAUGCUGGGCCCAAAAGGCCCGGCCCACGGGAAUAGGGCCCGUGGAAGGGGAAGGUAUAAAAGGGAGGAGAGAGAGGGAGAGCGUAUCUCUUUGGCAGAAUUGACGUACGUCUUCUUCUCUCCCGCGCGCUCUCUCUCCCUCCAAAAAGGACAGUAAGCACAAGGCCGCUGUGUUGGAGAAAUCUUUCCAGAAUAUUUUGAAGCUGACAAAACAUUUCUAUCAGUCUAAGUCUGGAUAUCGAUAGUUAAAGUCUCAAGAUUUUAUAGUCUCAAGACUCUGUUAUCUCAAGACUCAAGACUCAAGACUCAAGACUCAAGACUCAAAGUUAUUCUCACUGACAGUCUUUCUAAUCCAGUGUUGAAGGAAAUCCAAAGUCGAGGUUUAUGAUUGAGGAUUUGAUCCUAUCCUCUGGGAUAGAUUCUUUGGUUGGAUAAUCAUUUCGGAUUCUUUAUAUCUUAUCUAAGAACGAUUGAAGAUCCGAUGGUCGACGAAAUAAUCUUGGAUUAUUCUAUUCUUGGAAACCGAGAUCCUGAUUGUAUGGGCGAACAGGAUUGAUGGGCUAUCAUCAGAUUCCUUAUAUAGCUCGGAUGAUCUUCUUGAUUGAUUCCGUCCAACGGGUAGAUUGGAGGAAUUCCUUUGGUAAGUGCCAACGGCUAUGAUGGCAUGAAGGAGUAUAAAAGGAAGACGUUCUAGUUGUUUUAAGUGUGUGAUCGAUAGAAAAAUUCCAGAGUCUGAAGAUCCUUUGAUUGUUAGUUGAGACUGAGCGAAAUUGUAUACUGAGAGUGUUUAUACUUGGUGACGCCUUGAGCAAGUGUGGUAGAUCAUCUACACCUAGAAAUCAAGGAAGAUCAACACUGUAACAACUCUUUGAUCAUAGUGGAAUCCAGCCAAUCGGCUGUCAGUGCAGAAGAGUGGACGUAGGCUUGAAUCAAGCCGAACCACUAUAAACUGAGUGUUCAAUUCUCUCUUUCCCUUACUUAGUCUUGCGAUUGAAUUUUCAACUGUUGCAAAGUCUCUAAUUGUUUAAGUAUCGUGCAAACAUCGAGAAAUUUUUUGUGUAUACCUAUUCACCCCCCUCUAGGUACUCGUACUAGCUAUCUCAAUUGGUAUCAGAGCCUGUGUUCUUACUUUGUUUGAAGUGUUUUACUUCAGAGUAAAAGAUCCAUGGCUAGUAUGCUAGCACCUGGGCUGAUGGAGGGGCAAAGCAAUACCAGACCUCCCUACUUCGAUGGAAAGGAUUACAACAUCUGGAAGAACAAGAUGAAAGCUUUCCUACGAUCAAAGGAUCCUCUGGAAUGGGACGUAGUGGAAAAAGGAAUCACUAUUGCUGCUGCAUCAAACACUGAAAGAGGAAAAGAAACCGUUGAAACCAGCGGAAUGUCUCAAGAAGAAAUAAACAAGAGACAAGCACUUGAUGCUAAAGCAAUUUAUUCUUUAUAUUGUGCUUUGUCACCAACUGAAUAUAACAGAAUAUCUUCUUGUGUCACAGCAAAAGAAGUCUGGGACAGGUUACAUAUCACUUAUGAAGGAACAGAUCGAGUGAAGGAGACCAGAAUUAACAUUCUUCUUGGUCAAUAUGAAUCCUUCAAAAUGAAACCAGGAGAAUCUAUAACUGACAUGUUUAGUCGUUUUACAGAUAUUGUCAAUGGUCUUGAGAACCAAGGACAAAAAAUUUCUGAUCCCAUGAAGGUGAACAAGCUUCUACGUGGACUCUCCAAGGAUUGGAAUCAUAUAAAGACUUCAAUAAGAGAGACGCAAAGAAUCAUGCCAUUAUCUGUAGACGAACUGAUUGGAACUCUUCAGUCUUACGAAGUGGAACGAAUUAAUGAAGACGAAGAUCCAAGAGGUAAGAAAUCUAUUGCACUGAAAUCAAAUGAUGAUUCUGAUGAUGCAGAUUCUGAAGAUGAUAUGAAUGAUGAGGAGCUCGCCCUCAUGAUAAGAAGAUUCAGAAAACUGAAUAGAAAAGGCAGAAGGUUUAUCCCAAAGAAACAAAGUUCUCAGAGACAGCAGACCAAGUCUGUUGAUGAUGAGGAACCAAACAAAGAAGUAGUUUGCUUCGAAUGUAAAAAGAAGGGACACAUCAGACCCAACUGUCCUCUUCUGAAAAAGAAAAGAGGAAAAGCUGAGAAAUUUCGAAAAGCUCUUAAAGCCGAAACCUGGAGCAAUACAGAGUGUGAAGAGAGUGAUGAGGAAUAUGCCAACCUGUGUCUAAUGGCGCAAUCAGACUCAGACUCUGGAUCAGACUCAGACAGUGAAUUUGAGGUAAGCAAUUAUAAAAUCCCUGUCAAAGUCUCUAAAUAUAUUAAUGAGUUAUGUUUUAGUCUUAAGACUUCUCUUAAAAGGAUUUCCGAACUUAAAAAGGAAAACUCAGUUUUAAAACAAAAGGAAAUCAUUUUAGAAGAAAAGGUAAAAAAUUUAGACUUGAAUGUUUCUACUCUUAAAGAGAGUGAAGACAAUCUUUCAAAAGAAAAUGCUUUCUUAAAAACUGAUUUAUCAAAUAUUUCAAAGAAAUUUUCAAUAGGGUCCGAAAAACUUGAAAAAGUUCUUUCAAUCCAAAGACCUUACUUUAAUAAGUCGGGUCUAGGUAUGACAGAAGAAACAAUCCCUUUGAUUGAUUUUCCGAAAGUAAAAGAAAGAAUUAAGAAAAGACCAUCGAAAGAGGCUUAUAAAAAUCAUUUCAAAAGAGUUUUUGUAAAGCCUGUAGGUCGAAAUGCUUUAAGGUGUUCUAAGUGUAACAGUCAGGAUCAUUUUGAAAAAGAGUGUCCUAUGGUUUGGAAGCCUGUGAAGAGAGUAUGGCCUAAUAAUGCUUAUCCUACUAACAUGAAAGGACCCAAGAAAAUUUGGGUACCAAAGAAAGCUUGAGACUCUUUUUUGAAUGCAGGUCUCUGUCAAAAAGAAGGUAAAGUGGUAUCUUGACAGCGGAUGCUCAAGACACAUGACAGGAGACUCAGAGUGUUUCAUAAAGCUUAUUAAAGUGAAUGGUGGAAAAGUUUCAUUCGGAGGAAAUAGCAAAGGAAGUAUUGUGGGAUUCGGAAUUGCGAAAAUUGGAAAUCUCACAAUAAGCAAUGUCUCUCUAGUGGAAGGACUCAACUACAAUCUACUCAGCAUUAGCCAAUUGUGUGAUACUGGUUACAAGAUCUUCUUUCAAGAAGGCAUUUGUUCUGGAAUUAGCAAAGAUUCGACUCAGUCUUUCAUGGGUCGAAGGCAUGGAAACAUCUACCUCCUUGAUGUAAAGCCAAAUGAAGAACAAUGCUUAAUUUCAAUUCAAGAUGAAGCAAUUCUAUGGCAUAGAAAGCUUGGCCAUAUCAACAAGAAGCAAUUAGCCAAAAUCUCUUCAAAGCAGCUUGUUAGAGGUCUACCUAAACUGCCAUACCAAAAGUCUGACUUAUGUACUCCAUGCAUUCUGGGAAAGCAGGUAAGAAAUUCAUUUAAACAAAUAAAUCAUGUAUCUACUAAUCAUGUAAUACAGUUGCUUCAUAUGGAUCUCUUCGGACCAACAAGAACCCAGAGCAUUGGAGGUAAGAAAUAUUGUCUAGUAAUUGUAGAUGAUUACUCUCGUUUUACCUGGGUAUAUUUUCUAGCAAACAAAUCAGAAACCUUUUCGUACUUUGAAAAGUUUGCUAAAAAGGUUCAAAAUGAAAAAGGAUGUGCUAUUUCUAGUAUAAGAACAGAUCAUGGAAGUGAAUUUGAAAAUCAAGAUUUUACGAGAUUCUGUGAUAAAUCUGGUGUUAAUCACAUGUUCUCCUCUCCGUAUACUCCAGAGCAAAAUGGAGUUGUGGAAAGAAAGAAUAGAUCUCUUCAAGAAAUGGCUAGAACACUUUUAAUUGAAAGUAAAAUUUCUUCACGAUUUUGGGCUGAAGCUGUUUCAACUGCUUGCUAUAUUAUAAAUAGAGUCUUUUUAAGACCUAUUCUUGAUAAAACCCCCUAUGAAUUGUUCAAAGGUAAGAAGCCUAUUGUUUCAUACUUUCAUGUGUUCGGUUGCAAAUGCUUUAUUUUGAAAAAUGCAAAUGAUCGAGUUGGUAAGUUUGAAGAAAGAUCAGAUGAAGGCAUCUUCCUUGGAUAUUCUACAUCAAGCAAAGCCUACAGAGUCUACAACAAAAAAAGCCAGUCUGUGGAAGAAUCAAUGAAUGUCAAAUUCCAAGACUCAGUGCAAGAUGAAUCCAGCCAGACUCAGUACGAUGAGACUGAAUCCGCUCUAGAUCUUCAAAUGUCUACAUCUCAAGAAGCAUCUCAGAUUCUGGAAGUCCAUCAUCAAGACGAUCAUGGAGAAUCAAAUAAAGAAAGAGAUCAUCAACCUGGUAACUGGAAACACAAAUCCAGUCAUCCCAAAGAUCUUAUUAUUGGCGAACUUAAUGAAGGAAUCCGCACCAGAUCAAAAAGGCAUGAAGAAUCUAGUGCUGUGGCUCUCAUCUCUGAAAUUGAACCAAAAAGCAUAGAAGAAGCUUUAUCUGAUGAAAGCUGGAUCGAAGCUAUGCAAGAAGAGCUUAGACAGUUCAACAUCAAUGAUGUCUGGGAAUUGACAUCUAAACCAAAAGGUAAAACUGUUAUUGGAACCAAAUGGGUAUUCAGGAACAAAAUGAACGAAAAAGGAAAAGUCGUACGAAACAAAGCAAGGCUCGUGGCCAAAGGGUAUACGCAAGAAGAAGGAAUAGACUAUGACGAGACUUACGCACCCGUUGCAAGGUUAGAAGCUAUUCGUCUAUUACUUGCGUUUGCUUGUUACAAAAAUUUCAGGUUAUUCCAAAUGGACGUCAAAAGUGCUUUCCUAAAUGGAUUUAUCCAUGAGGAAGUUUAUGUGGAACAACCGCCUGGAUUUGAAGACCCAAAGAAGCCAGACUCAGUCUUCAGACUGAAAAAGGCUCUGUAUGGUCUAAAGCAAGCACCUCGAGCUUGGUACGACAGAUUAAGUAAGUUUUUAUUACAAAAUGGUUUUGUCAAAGGUAAAGUAGAUACUACUUUGUUUAUCAAAAAGGAAAACAAAAACUUUUUACUUGUUCAAAUAUAUGUUGAUGACAUUAUUUUUGGAUCUUCUAAUGAAAGUCUUUGCAAGAAAUUUUCUAAGUCUAUGCAGGAUGAAUUUGAAAUGAGUAUGAUGGGAGAAUUAACAUUCUUUCUUGGACUCCAAGUGAAACAAAUGAAGGAAGGAACUUUCAUCCAUCAAGAAAAAUAUGCGAAUGAUCUUGUCAAAAGGUUUGGAUUGGAAAAAUGCAAAAAGAUCGACAUACCAAUGUCAUGUUCUCAGAAGAUAGACAAGGAUGAAGAAGGGAAGAAAAUAGAUCAAAAGCUGUACAGAAGCAUGAUCGGUUCACUUCUUUAUCUUACUGCUUCUAGACCUGAUAUUUUGUUCAGUGUUUGUAUCUGUGCUAGGUUUCAAUCAGAUCCUAGAGAAUCACAUCUCAGUGCCGUGAAACGAAUUAUCAAAUACGUUGCUUCAUCUUCAAGCAUCGGUCUUUGGUAUCCAAAGAAGGGAGACUUUAAUCUUCUAGGAUACUCAGAUGCAGAUCUGGCCGGUUGCAGAAUCGAUAGAAAGAGCACUUCUGGAACUUGUCAACUACUUGGAAACAGAACGGUGUCUUGGUUUUCGAGGAAACAAAGCACUGUAGCUCUUUCAACAACAGAAGCAGAGUAUGUAGCUCUUGGAAGCUGCUGUUCGCAAAUUCUAUGGAUAAAACAACAGCUACAAGACUUUGGCAUUGAAGACUCAUGCACAGAAAUCAGAUGUGACAACACCAGUGCUAUAAAUCUCACCAAAAAUCCAAUCCUUCAUUCAAGAGCAAAGCAUAUUGAGAUUCGACAUCACUUUAUUAGAGAUCAUAUUCAAAAUGGAGAAAUCUCGAUCCAAUUUGUUGAUUCAAAAAGUCAACUAGCAGACAUAUUCACAAAGCCUUUGGAGAAGAAUCAGUUUGACUUUAUCCGCUCAAGACUCAACAUUUUGAAGCUUGAAGAAGUUAAAGUCUAGAGACUCACCAACUCUAAAGACUCUGAUCUCUUAGACUCUAAGUCCUGAGACUCAGACAUUCGUGGAUAAAGACUGUAAGUUGUAUUUCUUCUAAAAGGUACUAAUUGUCAUUUAGUCGAAAAGGUACGAUCUUUUGUUUAAUAAUUUUGGCAGUUAUAGAUUUUGAAAAGAAGUAAUCGUUCACUUUCCAUUGCACCGAUUGAACUUCCCUUUUCAAAAACUAAGUUAUAUAUACAGUUUUUCCCAAAUCUUCAAAACCCUAAAAAGCACUCUUCUCUCUAUACUGUUUCUACUCUUUGUUCAUCGUCGAGAAAGUGGUCAUUUUUCUUGGGAAAGCAAGUGAAGGAAUCCUCCAAUAGACAAAGAAAGAUGUCGUCUUCAAGGAAAUCAUCAAGAAUCGCGAACAGGGGACCACAAAGAAUGAAGAAGGGACCGACUCAUUUCGAUCUCACUGAGGAAGAAGACUUAUCUGGUCAGCGACAAAGUCCGAUUCGCUCUCCUCCACGUCAUUCAGCAUCUCCUGCCCCACAAAGUGAAAGUCAUAAUCUGGAAGAAGAGAUAAUCGAGGAUGCCGACCCAGUAAGAGUUCAAAAGCCUUCCUUUUUGUAUAAACUUUAUUGUGCAUUGAAAAGCACAGGUACUCCAUUGAACUACAUAGAUGACUUCCUUAAGGACAAAAAUUAUGGGAAUGAGUAUCUUUUUCUGAAGAAAAUGGAGGAAUGGGGAAUUGCCCCAAAAGGAAAAGCAGAGGAAGCUCUUGCGAACAUUCCAAGAGAUCCUCGUAUGCCAGGACAAAAUCUGAUUGACGCGAAUGAUGAUGACAAAAUGUUCCUUGAAUUUGAACCUAGAAUGGGUGUGGCGGCAAAGGCGAAAGGAAAUCGGAUGGAUUUGUUUAAAUCCAAGGAUCAAGAAAAAGUAUAUUACAGUCUGUUGAAAAGAGGGGUAAUCAACCCUAGAAGUGUCGAUUUUGACUUCCUGGAUUCCAUCAACUUGAACCUAAGAGAGAAGUUGAAUUUGCUUCAACUUGAGACUUUCUGCUCUGACUCUACAGACGGGUAUGAUCAUCUGACUGCUUAUUUCUAUUCAAAUCUUAGCUUUUUGGAUGCGAAUAGAAUUUCAUUCAGUGUUCGAGACAAAGUCUAUGUGGUAGAUGUGAAUAUGUUGGCAGACAUAGUUGGAGUUGAACGGGGACGCUAUCUCCCAAUUAAAGUCUCACCUGCUCGAACUACUCUGGAUCUUGUCAAAGAUAGGGAUGUAGAUAAGAAAAUUAUCUAUUCCAGAAUGAACGCUAUCAACAUUGUGCUUCACAAGAUUGUGAUCAAUUGUCUAAGACCUAAGUCUACUUCAAAGACUUCUGUGUCUCUUUCUGAAGCAAAGUUGAUGUAUGCGAUCAACUCAGGACGGAAGUUCUCUCUCCCGCACACUAUUCUUUUCCAUAUGUACAGAACUGUGUCAAAAGACAAAGGACAAUUGCCUUAUCCUGGUCUGGUGACCAAGAUCUUCAGACAUCUGAAUAUUGAACUGCCACAUACUUUUUGUGUUCGACCGUGUGAUAAGAUGGUGGUAGGGUUGAAAAUGUUAAUGAAGAUGCGUCUGCAAGAACUUUCUAAGGCAAUGGAGAAAUUCAAAGUGAAAUCUCCAGUCCAGUCUGCUUCAAAAGGAAAAGGAAAGAAGGCAUUUAGUGCUUCUUCGAAAAAGAGGAAAAGAAUUCUUAUCCUGGAGGAUGAGGAUGAAGAUGAAGAUGAUGAAGAUCCCACUAUUCCAGCACUGACAAGAACAAGACGUUCUGUGUCUUAUUCGACAGAACUUCAGCAGAGCAGAGAAAAAGAAGAACAGAGAGAGAAGGAGAAAGAAGUUGAGGAAGAAAAAGAAGAAGUAAAAGAUCAGUCUGCUGAUAAAUCUGGAGAGAAGGGAAAUCAAGAGAUUGAUCAUCACUCUUCCCCUUUCGAUGUCCUAGAGACAGGGGGAGUUAGCGAGCAAGAGAGGUCUCCACCUCAUGCUGCUGAAGAUCAAAGAAAAUCUCCAGAAGACCCAGAAGAAGUUCAGGUCUCUCAAUUGCCUGAAGAAGAUGAUACGACGAUUCCAAAUCUGCAAGACCGUUCAGAAGCGCCAUCGUCUGCACACACACCAUCUGAGAAAGCCAAUGCCAGUACACAGACGGAUGAUUCUGUAGAUCUUCGUAGUAUCAUGAAUAUUCUUCUGGAAAUGCGUAACCAGAUAUAUAUUCUGGAUUGUGAAAUCCAAGUCUUGAAGCAUGCUGGACAAGCAUCUUCAGUCUCUCUGGAAGAAAAAUACAAAGACCUCGCUCUACAACUUCAAGCCAAUGCCAAGAGAGAAGAGGUAGCUCAUCUGCGAGAAGAUCUGAAGAAGCUCGAAGGAGUAGUCCAGUCCAUUGGGGAUUUCCAGAUCGUGCGCAUUCCCAAGCAGACAUGACUCCUUUCUCACCCUCUUUUUAAUGAUGACAAAAAGGGGGAGAACCAAUUUGAACAAACAUUAUUUUAAAACUUUUGUGGUUAUGUUUAUUUUUGAGUAUGACUUGAGAACUUGAACUUGAGUGUUAGACUGAAUUGGUUGUGGAUUUUGAUGCUUGACUGGUUGCAUUUAUAUCAAGUAUUGUUACAUGGUAUUACUCAUGAAAGACUAACCAAUUUGCUGUGGAUGCAGAGUCUGGUUGUUUAUUAAUCUUUAUGAGUUAGCCAUAUUGCUUGAGAAAUGUUUUUGCAGGUCAAAGUUGUUCAAAUCUUCAAGAAAGUUUUGUCACCAUCAAAAAGGGGGAGAUUGUUGGAGAAAUCUUUCCAGAAUAUUUUGAAGCUGACAAAACAUUUCUAUCAGUCUAAGUCUGGAUAUCGAUAGUUAAAGUCUCAAGAUUUUAUAGUCUCAAGACUCUGUUAUCUCAAGACUCAAGACUCAAGACUCAAGACUCAAGACUCAAAGUUAUUCUCACUGACAGUCUUUCUAAUCCAGUGUUGAAGGAAAUCCAAAGUCGAGGUUUAUGAUUGAGGAUUUGAUCCUAUCCUCUGGGAUAGAUUCUUUGGUUGGAUAAUCAUUUCGGAUUCUUUAUAUCUUAUCUAAGAACGAUUGAAGAUCCGAUGGUCGACGAAAUAAUCUUGGAUUAUUCUAUUCUUGGAAACCGAGAUCCUGAUUGUAUGGGCGAACAGGAUUGAUGGGCUAUCAUCAGAUUCCUUAUAUAGCUCGGAUGAUCUUCUUGAUUGAUUCCGUCCAACGGGUAGAUUGGAGGAAUUCCUUUGGUAAGUGCCAACGGCUAUGAUGGCAUGAAGGAGUAUAAAAGGAAGACGUUCUAGUUGUUUUAAGUGUGUGAUCGAUAGAAAAAUUCCAGAGUCUGAAGAUCCUUUGAUUGUUAGUUGAGACUGAGCGAAAUUGUAUACUGAGAGUGUUUAUACUUGGUGACGCCUUGAGCAAGUGUGGUAGAUCAUCUACACCUAGAAAUCAAGGAAGAUCAACACUGUAACAACUCUUUGAUCAUAGUGGAAUCCAGCCAAUCGGCUGUCAGUGCAGAAGAGUGGACGUAGGCUUGAAUCAAGCCGAACCACUAUAAACUGAGUGUUCAAUUCUCUCUUUCCCUUACUUAGUCUUGCGAUUGAAUUUUCAACUGUUGCAAAGUCUCUAAUUGUUUAAGUAUCGUGCAAACAUCGAGAAAUUUUUUGUGUAUACCUAUUCACCCCCCUCUAGGUACUCGUACUAGCUAUCUCACGCUGUUUUCUCCCUUUCAAGCGUCAUCGGAUCAAACAAAGGAUAAAUUUCUCUUCCUCUAUCAGCAUCAGUGUCUAAUCUGUGGCUAACAAGGUACGCUCGAAUCCGUGGUGUGCUUUAGGAUCGGUGAUACGUGUAAUUCCCAGGCUUCGCUUCCACAUUCGUUUUAGGGAUUCGAUUGAGUGUCGAAUCCGAUUUUCGGGGAUCAGUCAUUCCCAACAAAUGUGAAUCUGAUCCUUACCACCACUGCUGAAGAUGGAGACUUUGAAUACAACAUCAUCCCUAUCAAUGUGUUUCGUCGCAAAGCUUGAGACUUUGCCCGAUGGUACAGUCAAUCUGGUGGUGUGGCGUUGCAUAAUCCCUGGGAAGGCCGGGGUAAGUGAAUCUCUCACCUUUUGAUUCUCGAAUUGAAGUGGAAGGAGGUGCUGAUUCGAGUCGAUUUCAGGUUUGUUUGGUUGUUUUGGUGGGUGGGAGUGGAUAUGAUCGGCGUGUGAGUAGUUUGUUCCGUGAUCGUUUUCACAGGCUUCAGUUUGCGGUGUUUUGGUUGAGAUCGUUUGCCGUGGCAUCUCGUGCUGUAUGAGAGUGCCUGGGUGUUUUUCAAUGGAAUUGGAGUGUUGAUGCGUAUGCCCAUGAUUGGACUUUCUUGUUGUGAUGUUGAAUGGACCUGUAGCCUUAGGGAUGCGAUUCGUGGGGCGCUGCUAUUUGAUAGGACGGAUUUGCAUGACCGAUUUGUUUGGGUGAGGCAUUGCCUAUCAUUAGGGAGUAGCACCCAUGGCGAUGAUAAAAGGGAAAAUGACACGUUUUAGGAGGUUCACAUAAAGGGGGCAAGGAAGAAAUCUUGAUAUUGCCAUCUUGAUGCAGAAUUAAGAAUAAGUACAACUAUAAAUUGAUUAAAUUCCUAGUGGUUAAAUUUAUAUGUAUCGUUUAAGUACGUGUAUUGUCUAGUAUAAUAAUUUAAUGUAUUAAAUAUUACAAAAUUUUUAAAAUGUUCAAAAAGUACAUGAUAACUAAUAUGGUAAAUGAAUACGUAGGAGUACACAUGAGUUCUUGUAAAUUAUAUUAUCCUUUUCUUUUUUUCUUUUUUAUUUUUUAUUUUUUAUGCCAUACGUCUUCUCGGAACAGCGUCUCCAGGCGUGUGCACGGAUGAGCGCAGGAAAGUAAGGAUGUCGAGAGGGCGGUUCAGUAGGGCCUAAUACGACCCAGAUCAUUUGGUGCCACCUCCUUUUGUAUUUUUUGUUAAUUUUUUGGGGCCCAGUAAGAAUCUUUGAAAAAAAAAAAAAAUUCUAAAGUGGAGACUCUCAUCGUCAAGGGAGAAGAGAAAGACUUCUUAUUUUGUAACGUCCGUUGCGGUGAGCUCAGCUCAGCCAUCGCAAAGCCUACACCCCGUUUCCUCCUCUUCUUCCCCCCACCUCCCUCCCUCCAUCUUCUUUCCAUCUCCACUUCAAAUCUGAAGAGAAUUGCUCUUUUAUUGUCUCGUCAGAUUCUAAUCUCCAUCGGAUAAAGACUCUUGCAUUUUCUGCUGAAAGAUUCCCCACAGAUUGACAACGCCAGUGCCCGAUCGUUUCGAAUUUAGGGCUUUUGUCGACGACCAGAAAAGCCCCAAGUCCAAACUCCAGUCGGUGUUCGAUCUUCACGGCGAACAUCCGAGCGGCCUUGUUUCCUGCCGAGGCUGCCGAAACUCGUACUCCUCCAAUUCUGCUGCUUCUGGCCGACCCUUCUUCGCGAAUUGGUCUUUCGUCUGAUCUGACUGCGGAGGUACCGAAGAGUAGGACGCUUCGGAUUCCAGAUUUGUAGUGGCGGUCGGCGAUGAGGACGGACAGAAUUGAGGGUGAUCUUAUAAUGGCAGCACCUUAGGCUUAUGGCAUUUCGUUGUGAAGUCUGGCUCUUUGGGAUUGUUUGUGCGAGCAUGAAAGGGGGAAGAUUUGGAGCGUGUGCAACUUCCUCUGAUGCACCAUCAGGGGGAGAAUGAAGACAAGCUUCGGACUGCAUUCACCGUGAUCGUGGUAUGUGCUUUUAUUCCCCCAAAUCUAUUUUUCAAUCCUUGAGUUUUUCUUUUAUCAAAACUUAGUUGAAGAUGAUUGACUGGUACUGGUUCCUUCAGGUAGGGAUAAUCAAUUUUCGAAAGUAAUGAUAGAUAACGCCCACUUUUAUAGUUCAGUAGAACAAUAUUGUUUUCUCGAAUUCUUGAUUUCCUAAUAGCCUUCGAUCAGCUUAGUUAUUUUCUUUAAUCAUCUCUUCUCUUACCUUGUAAUGGAUGGUAGUUAAGCAAUAUUGUUAUAGGAUGCAGAGCAUGGGACGACUACAGGCGUAUCAAUGCGUGACAGGGCAGCGACAGCUUUAGCUCUUGCGUCUAGAGAUUCCAAAACCUGAAGAUUUCAACAGGCCGGGACAUGUUCUCCCAUUGAAGUACAGGGACGGCUGUGUCCUGAAAAGAGCUUGGCAUACAGAGGCUUCUGUCGACCUUGCUGUGUUCGCUACCCUGUGGCAGUUCUCUUUGUGAGGUAGUGGGUGAUGAUGGCUCCUGGCAAGAUUACCUAAGCUUCAUGGGUUUGCACAGCGGGAGAACUUGAAAAAUGCAUCUAUUGCUGAUCUAAUCAGGUAAAUUUUCUCUUCCCAGCAAUCCAAUGCAGAAUACUUUUUAAGGACGAUCAAAUCCAAUUUCAGCUGCAACCGUCACUUCUUAAGUGUUGGCUCUUUUGGUCAAGAUGUUGUCACUGCGGCAUCUCCCCUUUUUGGGAGUGGAUAAAUGAAGAGUAGAAACCUUGGAACCCUGGGUGGGGUGGGAAAAAAGAGUCUCUUAUGGGUUACUGUUGGGCUGUUGUUUUGCAUAGCAAAAGGGAGAGAAGCAUAAGCCAUUUUGGUCUGUUGAUGUCUCAAGUUUAGUUUAUGCUUUAAGCUUGUGGUUGUUGUUCCGUUCGUCAACACCAUGCAUAUCAAUGGUUUUGGGGGUUCUGAAGAGUUGUUUAUCACAAUUCUUUUGUGUGUAUGGUGUCAUUAGAUUAGUAUAUGGUUAUGAAUGGCCAGGAUUCUUGUCAAAUUUUGUCAAUGAGCCUGUGACUGCAGUUAUCUUUAUGUACAUUUUCUUGUAUUUACCUCAUUUGGAAACCCAUGUCUGAAUGUCAGUUGACCGCUUACUGAGGCAGAGUUUGAGGUGCAUUCUCAGCAUUAUCACCUGGAAAUAGGGAUAGAACAUCUAGAUUGUAUUCUGACUUGUAUAUUGAGAAGCUUCUUAUACUAUGUGAGUGAGAAAUGAUUCACUGCUCAUUAGAUGCAUAAAUUUAUAGGGACGGCUGGAAAAGAGAUAAAUGAGUUGAACGUGCUGCUGCUGCAAGAUUACCAACAAUGUGGGGCCUUUUACAGCCCAUUGCUAUAGGUCGAUAUUAGAUGGAAUCGAGCAAAUUGCAAUGGUCAAUUUGAGAUAGAUUAUGAGUUAAUUGCUAAAACUGUUUUAAGAAUUCAGAAACUAUUGAACAGAGAGUUUUGAAUUGAUUAAUUGUAAACUUAGAAGAUCUUGUUUGUAGCAGUCCAAUUUUUCAGCACAACUUCAAUUUGUGCUUCAUCUUAUGUAUUUCCAUUGCAUGAUUUUGUAUGACAAUGAUUUUACUAGAGCAGGCUGUCAAGCUUUAGAGUUGAAUAAUCACACCACUGAAAAAUUGAUGGUAUCUUUUGGGUGGAACUCCAUUAAAUGUUUUUGGAAGCUUGUAAAAAAAUGUCUAAUCAUGUGUCAAUCAUAAUUUGGAGUACCAAAUUUAUCUUAGUUGGAUAACAAAUUUUGUCUGGACAGGAAAGUUAACACCAGGAGAAAUGAUUCUUAGGAUUUUAGUGAACUGCUGGGAACAAUAAUUCUUUCUUAUAGUCUAUGAAAUGAUUGAUAAGGAGCCUGUAUGUGUCUGCAAUUGAUAUAGGAAUGCCGUAAUUUUGAUGAAAAGCAGUAUCUCUAGCUUUUUGUAUUUUAUGUCCUCCCUUCAGACAGCAAUAUUUCCCAUCAUGUGAUUCAUACUUUAUUGUAUAACUUCUGAACAGAGUGACGUUGGAGGUGAUCAAGAUGUCCUUGCGAGGGUAUCCUCAGGAUGCAUCCCAGGAGACAUGUUUGGAUCUGCUAGAUGCAACUGCGACCAGCUUGCACUUGCGAUGCAGCAGAUAGAAGUGGCUGGUAGGGCCGUGCUGGUCUACCCCUGAGGGCACAAAGGAGAGGAAUAGGUUCGAGGCACAUAUUACGUGCCUAUAACCUGCAGGAUGGUGGGCGUACUUCCAUGGAAGCAAAUGUGGAACUUGGAUUGCCUGUUUAUUCUCAAGAGUAUGGAAUCAGUGUUCAGGUAUUUCAUCCUCAAGUCAGAAACUAUACUGAUGUGAGAGACAACAGUUUCAGAAAUUGUACAUCAUUUUGUAGGACUAUUAGAGGAAGCCAGUCACUAAAGCGGAGCUUCAACUUCUUGUCUUAAAAAGAUGAGAUCUAAUUACCUUAAAGAAUCACUCCAUCAUUUCUUUUUACAGCAUUUGACGCAUCUGUAUUAGUGCUUAACAUAUUGACUACGAGGGAGUCAGAACUAUGAAAGCUGAUGAAGUAUGUGGGGCUCAAAGAUUAUGGCCUGAUGAUUGUUGAGACAGUCCCUCUAGUAACUCCCAUACAAAGGAGAAGAGAUGCUUGGAGACAAAACGUUCAAGAUGGGGCAUAUCUAUGGAGCGGAAGUCAAUGGUCGCUUCAGCAAUCUCAUUGGCAGUAAGGGGAAGCCUAGCAGUCCUGUUUCUUCUGAUCCGGCUGUGUCUGACUUAUAGGAGCUGCUGGAUAGUUCUACUGCUAAUGAUUUAUUUGAGGGGAGACAAGCAAGUUCACUUACGGAUGGUGUUAUUACUUUAUGUUUAAAGCCCUAAGGUCAAGAACAUUGCGAUACCUGCUGACCAUGAGUUCUGGAAAUUUUAUUGCGAUUCAGUUUUACAAUCAUUGAUCUGUCGAUGUCAUUCAUCCAUUUUGUAAGGCAAGAAGGUGAAAGACUAGCCCUCUAAUUGAAACUUCCUUUUGUGUUAUUAAUGGAUGGCAAGAAUUAUCCUUAAUUCACCUUUCCGUAAAUCUUUGGGUAUCGAUCUCUAGAGACCUCCCCAUAUUUCAUGAAUACGGAUUUGGUGCAGGACAUUCCUUCUUUCCUCUUCUGUGACCACUUCAAUUGUGACAGAUUUUACUUGAAGGGAUAUACUUAAAGUUCUCUGUUAUAGAUCAACUCUCCAUUUGGGCAACUGAUAAGGAUUGCUUCUGACCUUUUAUUCUAUUGAUCCCAUGCUCGGCGUGCUCCUCGUCUCUUCGAAUUUCCAUCACAAAUUAACAAUGUAGGGCCCGAUGGCUUUGAAUUUAAGGAAUUUGUCCACAUAAGAAGCCCCCAAAUUUAAACUCCAAUCGGUCUGCCAAUUUUCAAUUUGGACUUGUUAGCAGACCCUCGUCCACUCAAAAGCAAAGCCCUAUCUCCUGAUUUUGCUCCCGCUCUCGCCCUCACAGGAGAGGCUUUCUCUGCUACUCCUUUUCAAAGAAGGGUCGACCUUCAGUCCCAAAAUGACAAUUAUCACAUGCAAAUUGUUGUUUCACGUGUAUCAGAGUGAGGGACACGUCAACAAGGAGAACUUUCAAAAUGACAAUUAAUAGAUGCAGCAACACAUCUCAUUUUCAUUUAAUGAUACUUACGUAACAACAACAAUCAAAGUGCAUCGAUGCUAAAACAGAAUUCGAGAGGAUAAGAGAGCCUGAAAGAGCCAGAACCUGAGGAUUAGAGGGAGAAGAUAUUCCAAAGAUAGAAUUGCUCCUUCUUGUCUACUAGACUCCAAUAUUUCCGGACAAAGAUUGUCCAUAUAGGUUCCGAUACUUUAGGGAGGCAUUUAUACUUCAACUGAAAAUCAUUAGAUUGCUAAAUUAUGGUUUGGUUUUUACUGCCUUUUUCAACCCUCCUACCUUGAAUCUGCAGCCCUCCGUCAAUAGGGUUGAUAGACAGCCUCAAGUGACACUUCCAAUGCCGUCUCAAUCGGGCCUAAAUGAUGUUCAUCUCAAUCGGUCCUUACCAGCAUUGCUGAAGAUCGAGACUUUGAACACAAGAUCAUCCCUACCGAUGUGAGCUCAACGCAUACAGACGUUUGAUGCAAACAAGCUUCUCUCGCAAAUGCGGGCCAAUCGUGUUGAUAGGUCUUGAGCUGCCCUAGCCACAAUCCGUCUAAAUACUUAAGAGUCGCAAUUCCUCGAUUCUUUUUAAUGUAUCUCCACGAAUUCACAAGUAACACUCUCCCAAGUAGAAGUUCUGCAAACCAAUAUAUGAUGGGAAAAAAAAAGAAUAAAUACGAGCAAACCCUAAAGAAAAAGGCAAACAAGAUGUCCAUUUAUACUAGUAUUUUCUAGCUUAAAAAUUUGAAGUUCUCAAUCCCAACCGGACAAUUUGAUACCUACAUGCUAUUAAUAUUGUGCUCUCAGAUUCUACAAUAGCAUACACAAUACUUCAUGGGUUUCUAACACAUUAAUCAUCUUUAUUGCGAUUAGGGGUGUCAAAACCGAACCGAAAAACUGAGUCGAAGCUUGAAUUGAGCCGAAUUUUUGCGUAUUUUCUUUUCAGUUUAGGUGAAUCGGAGAUGAUUAACAAUUCACACAAUCUCUCUCAUUUUUCUAUAAACCUCUUUUUAAUAUUUCAAAAAAGAAAACCAAAAAAUCGAAUCGAUUGGAACCGAACUUGUUUCAAGGCGUGGUUCAGUUUGAAUUUGUUGCACACCUGAACGGUUCGGUUAAGUUAGAAACCCAUGAUCGCAACCUCUCGAUUUAUAAAUAAUAGUAAUUUUCUUUCUAUACACAUCCAAUUAGUUUAAAAUAAAAGAAAAGAAAGAAAAAGAAAAAAGGACGCUGUCUUCUAUUAGAAUUGGUAAUUUGAUGAGCCCAUAAAUUUAAGAAAAUGAAAUUUCAAAAUCACACCUGUGAUCUCUUCAUGAAUUAAGAUUGACAACGGGAGUAAAUUUAGUUACGAAGCCUCACCUCUUCGAAUUUCCCCACGAAUUGACAAUUGGAAAAAGUGCCAAAAAAGUCCUAAACCUUUUGCCUUUAUGUCGAUUAAGUCCUAAACCUUUUUUUGGUGCCAAUUUAGUCAUAAACCUUUGUACGUUGUGCCAAUUCAGUCCUUUCCGGCCAAUUUUGGCCGGAUUUUGUUGACUGGACACUGACCGGCUAACGUGGCCUGAUCGGCGCUGACAUUGACACAUUUUAAUAAUAUUUUAAUAUUUUUGAAUAUUUUUGAAUUUUCUUUUUCUUUUUCUUUUUUUCUUUUUUUUUUUCUUCUCCUCUUCUUCCUCCAGUCGAUCGCCGGACCCCAGCGACCGACCAAAGGCGAUGGCCGGCGAGGGCGAGGCUGCCCUCGCUGGCCACCUCGCGAGCGAGGGUCGAGCCUCGCGCUGGGCGGCGAGGUGAGGCGAGAGGUUGAGCCUCGAGCCUCGCCGGCCAUGGGCGAGGCUCGCCCUCGUCGAAUCUGACGAGGUCAAGCCUCGCUGGCCAUGGGCAAGGCUCGCCCUCGUCGGAUCUGGCGAGGUGGGAGGCUCGAGAGCGAGAUCCGAGCUGUGAGAGAGAAAAAAAGCCCUGGGGAGGGCAGAUCCGAAGAGAGAGGGAGACCCUAGCCGCAUGAGGCCUCCGCCGCCUAACGUCCUGUCGCUGCCGCGGCCUCACCUGUUGCCUCCCCGUCGACCAGCCACGAGCCCUGCCGUGCUAAGCUUGCUGUUGCCGUUACCCUGAUGCAGAUCUGCCGCCGUUUUUACGCCCGGAGCCCGACGCAAGCUGCCGUUGUUCCUCCCCGACGUCGGGUGCGCCAUCCUGCCUGCCGCCUAGCGUGAGGCUCGCCAGAUUCGGCCCAGCGCGAGGCUCGACCCUCACCUGCAAGGUGACUGGCCGACAGUCGCCUCUAGCCGGUCACCGAGGUCUGGCGACCGGCCGGAGGAAGAAGAGGAGAAGAAAAAAAGAAAAAGAAAAAAAGAAAACGAAAAAAGAAAAAAAAUUCAAAAAAAAAUUCAAAAAUAUUAAAAUAUUAUUAAAAUGUGUCCACGUCAGUGCCGAUCAAGCCACGUCAGCCGGUCGGCGUCCGGUCAGCAAAAUCCGGCCAAAAUUGACCGGAAAUGACUGAAUUGGCACAACAUACAAAGGUUUAGGACUAAAUCGACACCAAAAAAAGGUUUAGGACUAAAUCGGUACAAAGACAAAAGGUCUAUGACUUUUUUGGCACUUUUACCAUUGACAAUUGCAAUGCCCGAUCGUUUCGAAAUUUAGGGCUUUCGCUGACGAAAAAAAAAAAAACCCCAUAUCACAACUCGAAAUCAUCAUGAGUAGAAAGCUAAGCGGCCUUGUUCCGUGGAGAGUCUGCCGCAACUCGGAAUCGUCCUAUUUCCUGCUUCACUCCCACCCUUCUUCCUCAUCGAAGAUGAUGAAUUUGACUUGGAUCAACCCAGAGCAUGCUCUGCUUCUAUUCUAGAAGCGAUUUGGGACAUCCCCUGAGGAAGGUUUGGUAUGCUUUCUACGUUGCGUCAUCGAGCGCAUUUCAAUUGUUCGUCCAUUAAUUUCUAUGUCAUGUUUGGAACUGAGUUCCAGAUUGUAGUGAUCUUAUAAUGGCAAUAGAUGAGGAUUGCCUCCAACCUUUUAUUUUAUCGAUCCCACGCUCCGCAUGAAUUCGACUUAUAACAUACCCGGAAUUUUGGGAAGAUGCAAUGUCCAGGUGUAACGAUGUUCACUACUCUCCAAAAAAAGAAAAUCAAGAAGUACAUCACCAUUCAAUCUGUUGCAGCAGAAAGUUUUGCUUCUUUUGAUCUGAUUAACUAAACAAAACAUUGCGAAGCAGAGAUUUUUUUGCAGGCAUACCAGAGUUUAUGCCCGAGUCUUGACAUUCCUUCUGAAAAAGGAGACUUUGAGUUCAAUAUUAUCAAUUCUAACAAGUUCGAACACACAGACAAUCUCCUUCCUUUAGAGAGAGUAUGAUCUUGAAGAAAUGAGGUGCCUCAAAUGCAAAACUAGUCUGGUGCUGUUCAUCUUCUCUCUGGCGACAAGAAGUCAUCCCCUGAGCAUAAUUUGUGUAGUAAGUUGUAACGUCUGAACUUAAACUAGUUUCAUGGCUUUCUAUUAGCUGACUUAAUUAAAUGAAGCAUCUAAUUGGAGAAGCAAUUCAUUUCCGGGACAAAAAGUUUUAAAAAAAAAAAAUUCUGGAAGAAGCUCAUUAAGAAGAGCAUAUACGGAAUUGAAUGGAUGAAAAGAUGACAAUCUGUUAGUUGAUCAAAAGUGUAUCAAGAAUAAUGUUAGAGGUACUAAGGCUAAAAUCGAUAGAUUUCAUUUACAAAGUGACGUGUAAUUAGUAUACCAUUGCCAUUAGAUAUUCAGCCUACCAGUUAGAAGACUUGACCAAUGAGUAAAUCUAGCUCUAAAUACCGAGCUAAAGAAGAAAAUUGUUUGUCUUGGCCCGCUUAUUUGCACUUGCGGCUUGGUGGACCUUGGCAGACUAUGCCGUGAGGCCAAACACCUCUUCUAUUUAGAGAUAAUUAGGCCAAAAGAAAAGAUAAUUCACUCAUAACUCAACGGGUCGUAUCUAUCAUGUUUGAGCCAGUCAAUCUUUAUUUCCUUUGUUGAGUUCAGAUUAGCAUGUAGAUUAUAUUAACUAGGAGAGUCUCACUAGCAAUUCCUGUAACUAGGAAUUGGAAGAAGAACACCGGUACAUGCUACAAACCGAAGAUCUUUAGCCUUUAGAAAUUCCUUAGUCGUGGGUGCAGUACUUUUAAGUCGAUCAAAUAUAGGUUUUAUCAGCUAAUAUUUAGGUAAGGUUCAUGAUUAUUUUGCUCAAUUUCAUUCAUUUUUUCUAAUUUGAAAAGUUGAGCGACUAGUCCUCUUAUGAAACUUCCCCCCUCAAUGUCAAUGCUAGCUUCUAAUAUUCAUCCGUGAUUAUUUAAGUAAGUGAUUAAUAGACUUUAAUCUGAAUCUACUUGUGUACUGAUCACCAGAGAGCAAUACCUAUUUGAAAAUUGAUGCAGGAUUCCGACAUGCCAUAUCAGCAAAUUUGGUUGAGUGGUCAUCAGGAAGACCAAGUGGUUGUUGGGAAGGAUUUCACUACAUUUGAUUCAAAACCUUUAUGACUUAAUCGCACGUUUUAAAAAUUUAGAACACGAUUACACAUUAAGCAUAAGGUUUGAGAUCUUUCUAAGAAAGUUCCUCGAAAAAAAAAAAAAAACAACGGAUUAAGAUGCUUAUUCGUUUGGAUGAGAAGAGAGUUGAAGGAGAUAGAAAAGAGAUGGGAUGUUUAGUUAUGAAAAAUGAAGAGCGUGCAAUCUAGGCAGUUAUGCUAAGGUGGCAAAAGGGAGAAAAUCAUGUCGUUACCUAUUAUCCACAACCCUCUCCCCCCCACCCCCCUCCCCCGGCGGGGUGCCACAGGCCAGUCAAGGGUCCCUUUGCAAAACUGUGAUUUUAUUAGGGAGAAAGAGAGAAAUUGGAAAUAGAAUCGCUACCUCAACAUAAAUUUUCUUCAUCUCCACCUUUGAUUGCGUCUUGGUAACUUUUAAAUUUCCACGCCACUUUCAAGCAUCUGCCGUUCCCCUUAUCAGUGACUGGACAAGUUAAAAAGAUAAAAAAUUUAGAACCUAUGAUGCUUCAACUGAUAGAAAAUUUGAGAAGCAGAGGCAAGAGAAAAAUAAGAAUAAAUGAGAAUGACCUUAACUGGAUCUUACCAAUUUUGUGUGCAUUUAUUAUGCUGAUAACUUUUGUAUCGUUGCAUUGAGAUCACCUUCCCAGUAGCCAUCCCACUCGUAUCUGGACAGUCUCACCCAUUCUAGUUUUGGUGUGCUUAGAGUACCAUUGGAAAAGAUUUUCAUUUUUGAGCACUCUUCCACCUCAACAUAUUCCAAGGAUGGGAACCUGAAGCUACAUCUUGUGGUUGAGGAGAAGCAUUCUAGGCUUGGCAAAUGUUGGAGGGUCAAUCUUUCUAGCUUCCCAAGAGAAAUCGCUUUUCUUUCUCCGUUUUCAUCAUUUGUGACUACUUCUUUCAUUCUUUCGCAUCCAAUUAUAGUCAUGUCAGUGAGUUGCAUCAAAUUUGUAAUUGCUGAAACUGUCACUAGAUGUGCCAAUCCAGAAGAAUUCUUCACCACUAACUCCGUCAAAUUUUGGAAGGAUGUCACAACUGGAAAUAUUGUUGUCAAACUGGGACAAUCCCACACCUUAAAUAUGCUAAUACUCUGAAAAAUUUUCGCCACCAAAUAGCCUUCUCUCCAGACAUGCUUUAGGUUGUGUAGCUUGCUUAACUUGAGUUCUUUCAAAUUAUCAAGCACCAAAUGUUUUCCCUCGUCAACAAGCUCUUCAUCAAGGAAUAUAUCUUCAAAAGAACUACAUAAGACCUCAAGACUUUGUAGGUUCUUAAAUCUUUGUAGGAGGAAUAUGAGAGGAAAGACAGUAUUUUCAUCAUGAAAGCAUGCCAAUGUUAGUGCUUUUGGCUUGCGAAAGAAGUCGUCAGAAAGUUUUCCACUAUGUAUCGUAUGAAUAUCCUUGUCGACUAAUAAAAGUCUCUCUAAGGUGGGAAUGCCCUACAAAAUUUCCAAUACUAUGAGAGAAGUAAAUUCAACAAGAUUUGACAAUAAAUCAUGGGCUCUCAGCAGUAAACUUAAGUCGGUUAACUCCCAUAAAAGGAGGCCCUAUUCUUACAUUUCAUUAGUUUCUAGAGCCAUGCAUACAAGUCUCAAGUUUCUCAAGUCAAGCUACAAAAUGCAAAUCGUAAACAAAUUCUCCAGUAUGGCCAUCUGCCAGCCAAGGUAGGCUAUACGCCCACAUCAUAAUGAUAAGAUAGAAGCGAAAGAACUGUAUUGACAUAGGAAUGAUCAAAUAAACAAAUGAGAAUUCGUUUUACCAGAAAAUAUCAAAAGAAAGAUGGUCAUCUCGUUGCAAUUUGAAAAAAAAAAAUUGCUAAAUGUCAAUGCUUGAUUCUCAAUUUAGCUCAUAGGAAAUUCACAUUUUUUAUUUGCAUCGAAAAUUUUUAAGAGAAUUUUUAAGUAGAGGCCGGUAAAGUAAUCACCCCGACCAAAUUCAUCUUCUAGGAGUAUCUUAUCUAGUAAAAAAAAAAAAAUUGUACUUCCUUGAAAUUUCGGGUGACAAGAUAUUAAAAACAUUUUGGGUGUCCACUGAUGAAAAGCGUGCUUAAAGAUGUUAGAAACAUCUUAUGUUGUCCAUGAAUCGAUAGGCUACUGUAUUAUUAUAAUGUGACAUGACUAUGCUGUAGACAUGAGAUAUAUCGGAUAAAUAAAAGAAUUAAGAAGAAAGAGAGGAAGAGCAGUUGCGAUCAUACCUUCUCAAAUGAGAGGUGUGCUUCAUAGUCUGAAAGGUCGUGUUGAUUAUCUCUUUGAGCCCACUUAUUCAUGGAUGCCAGAAAGGACAACAUGUUUAGUUUGUCACAGUGGGUCACUUGCAAUUUUUCCAAGAAUUGCCAUUUCAAAUUGUGCAAGUCAGAACAAAAACCCUUGAGUUGUGGCAUGUCAUGGAACACUAGAGAAGUCAGUUGCGGAAAAAGAAAUUGAGCCGUAGUAAAGUGUGAAAUGUCAUUUCCACUCGCAACUAUUUGCUCGAUCCCACAUGACUCCACUCGAAGUUUCUGAAGUUGGGUUAGACUUGUAGCCACCCAAUGUGGAAACAGAUUUUCAAGGCUCUUACAAUUCUCAACAUUCACUUUCCAUAAAUGUUCAAAAGUGAGAGUAUCUUGAGGACUAUCAGUCCAUAUUUUGAUUAAAUUGUCCAUGUGGGAGAGAACCAUUGAUGCAAGCCGAGGAAAUUGUACCUGCUAUAUUGGAAAAAUAACACAAUAAAUUUGAUUACAUUGAGUGAUGACCUCAAAGAAGGAAUUUCCAAACUUCCCUUCCUCUCAUCAAUCAUAACAUUCUAGAACUUGCUAGUGACACAAUCAAAGAAGGGUUGCUUGAUGCUUUCAUUUCAAUUGAUUGAUGACUAAGGCUAAGUCUAUUGCAUUGGAACAAACAUCAAAGUGGGUGCAACAAAAUAAAUUCUGGUCCAUACCACCUAUUAACACUCAUGCAUGAAAAAGAUAGGAAAAAUUUUCCGUUGUGUAACGACCCAAAGAAUGCAAUUAUGGUCUCAAAUACAACAUGAAUACUUCUACAAUUUUCUAAAAAUUUCCUGUCAUGUGACGUGAAAUUUUAAGAUGACUUUCUUAUGCAAACAAGGAUACUUGGGCAAAUGCAAUUAACCUUCAUGAACAAAUGAAAGAUGUUAUGCCAAAAUUGAUUGUGAUACAAAAAAAUGAAACCAUUGUAAGAGCUGCUCUGAAUUGUUCAUUUUCAUAGCCCGUAAGGAAUUUUCAUUUCAUCAUGAUAAAAUUAAUUAAAUUGCGGCAUGAUACAAUCUCAAUUACCAAAGACAAGUUUGUCAUACAAGUAUCGAAUGGUCCACCAAGACAUCUGCCUUAUUCAAAUGAUCCCUAUGAGCACAUCAUGUUUGUUUACAAAAAAUCAACGAUGUUAUGAGCUCUUAUAACUUGUCCAAUAAGAAACGGGUAUUGACAUUUUUUAUUUGGUUUCAAUAAAAUUAAGACAAUUAUGACUUAUUACUAGCAAAAAACAGAAUGACUAUAUCCAUACUUCCCUAAACCUAUUAAUAUUCUAAGUUGAGGAUUAGGAUGAGUUUUUGAAUUUUUUAAAAAGAUGUGACGGGUACCUCAUAUUUGACAAAUAAAUGAAAUAAUGUCAUUGCAAUUUGUCACUAACAAAAAUUAGGUGACUAGUUUCAUACUUCUUUAUCUAUUAAUAUGCUAAAAUGAGUAAUAUGAUGACCUUUUGAAGUAUUCUAACAAUGUGGGCAUAUGACAACUCAUAAACGACAUAUUAAUGGCAUUGGAAGUAAAUGCA
rnacentral:lncRNA from 1 species